UACCUGAUCGCCGUUGUUCCGGAUGAGGAAGUCCCUGUCCGGAGAAGACAAGAGGGACUGAACAUCGUGAGAAGAAGCCCCGCCCUCGACAACAUCCGCCAUAUUCGUCGCUUCACUCGUGUUUUGGUGGAGAGUGCUUGCUGGUUCCAAGAAUUACCCCAUCUAUACCAGACUGCAUUUUAAGAAUUUCGAACGGGGAAGACCACGAAGAGAGUCUAAGUCAACUCUUCGCGUAUUAAUCAAUGGCGACGGUUCCGACCUCGUGCGGUUCGUCCAAUGAACAUUCGCUCUCACACGGACGUUUCGAGGUAAAAAUGGACAUGAUCAUGAUCAUCGUUCGUUUCUUGCAUUGUGGGGGUCCACCCAAUGCCACCGGUUUCUAUUUUCUGUUUUUUCGUAAAAUUUAUUUUGGAUUUGCUUUAAAACAUACAUCGUAAAGUGGGCAGCGAGAUAAGGAGUUUCAGGGCCUUACUUUGGCCCACUGCAGCAGAGAAGCUAACAGCAAAAGCCCGUCGUUUUAAUUAUCUUCCCACUAAUUAGUUUUCUAAUCCCCGACUGCUCUAUUUGACUUAUUAUGCACUGAUGCUUUUAAUGUAUUUCCUCUAAACUUGGCUAAGUAAAUUAAUAGCAAUGGCAUUUUCGUUCAAAAAAAAAAAAUUGGGCAGCGAGAUUACCGACCAAAAAAAUUUCCGCCCCUUGCAUGACUAAACGUGCCCCAUUUUCAAUAAAAAGACAAAGUUUCCCUUAAUUAUUCAAUUACAAUUUAAAGUAAUAGCCCCCAAUUUAUGUACUUUCCUUCUUUUGUUAGUUUUCCAUUUAUAUGUAACAUCUAGUUACCAUAAUUAAGAAUAUCAUGUGUUUCGUUCUUGCUUAUUAUGAGUAUCCCAUAUAUAUUAAAUGCAUUAUGUUUUCUCUUUAUUUUAAGAUUUUACUUUCAUUCAAAUAUAAUUUUAUCGAAAAGAGAAAUUUCAAAGAAACUUAGUUAUUUUCUACAUUAUCAAGCAAAUUAUUUAUUAAUUGUCCCGUAAAACCUAGAAAAGAUUUAACAUAGAUUACUUUUCAACACAGUGUUUAUAAAAUUUUACUAUGUUGGGCAUAUCACCACCAAAUCUUUUUUAUCGGUUGUCUUUUUAUAUACAUAUAUAUUUUAUGGGAUGAUUGGAUGAGACACACACACACACAAAAACCUCUUUAAAGCUUUUUCCUAAAUAAAUCAUAAUUACUGUGUGUAUAUAUAACAAAAUAUGUGAAAGUAGGUCGAUAUGGUAAUGAUUGGGUCAAGUCUACUUUUAAAUUUCAUUAGGGUAUCAAGUGAUGAGGUCCAUUUUGAAGGAUGGAUUAUCUGGCAUAUGGUGGCUGUUGAAUAUGUAAUAAUUUUUGGGUUGUGUGUAUCUGGAAAAUGUUUGAAUUUCAUGGAUCCUGUUUCAAUCAAAAUUUGUUCAUAAUAAGUAAUGUGUUUGUGCUUAUCAUGAGGUGUGAAAUACCAAUUUUCAUAAUAAGCAAUGGUGCAAUUCCAGCUCCAAGAGCCCAUCGUGCACAAAAAAGGUGCAAUUCCAUUGUAACAAACACCGUCGGCAGAUGUCUCUUGAGCUGUCGUUAAAGACCUCUUGGGCUUACGCCAACAAAACUUUGACUUACACUAACACGAAGGUGAGACGUGUGGAAAGGCUUCGUCAUCAAUUUGAGAUGAUAAGGAUGCGUGCCUACAAGAGGAAGUGCACAUCUUCGUCUACUGGAUGCCUUUACAUAAUACGAAAGGAUCAUUUACUUUUGGUUAUGUUCAAACUACAGUCUACUUUCUAUAAGUCCUUAUUUAAAUGAACCUAGCUUACUCAUCAAUUUGAGAUGACAGGGACGCGUGCUUACCCGUGAAGUGCACAUCUACAUCCACUGGAUGCAUACAAAAGGAUCAUUUACUUUUGGUUAUGUUCAAACUACAAUCUACUUUUUCUUUUUCUUGGUCAAACUACAGUCUCCUUAAUUCAGACAUUUCUUACUUAAUAAUUCAUUGACGAGCAGCCGAGGUGGACAUGCUUAUGGAAGCUGUGGAUCUUUAACGCAUAAGAGAAUCUUAUGGUGUAUUUGUUUCACGGAAAAUAAAUAAUUUGAAAAAUAUUUUCCUAAAAACGGUUAUUUGUAUCAUUCACAAAAAUAAAUGAACGAGUGCAUAAAUUAUUGUCGAUAAUAAAAACAUUUGUCAUUAACUAAUUAUUUCAUGAAACAAACGGAGCUUCAAGGCUAUACCUGCUAAGGAAGAAAGAGCUCCAAGAAAUUUCAAUUUAAAACACGAGGAAUGAGAACAACUAAAAAAUUGAAGUAAAUGAUAAAGCGAUCUUCUGGUAAACUCAAAUGUGAAAUAUCUUCAGGGAUAACAUAAUACUUAUUUUUGUGGUUGUUGAAAUAUCCCAUGUUCCCGCAUAUAUGUCUUACAUGCAUUGGUAUGUUGAUGGUGAGAGGCUUAGUUUGAACUAGACAUGAGCGGUUUCAAGUUCUAUAUAAGUUCCACCGAGAAUAUAAAACCUACCAAUUAGAAUAGGUUCCUCAUUUUUUGAAAUCCGGAACCUAACCUGCAUACCUUAGAACCUAGAGUCUAUCCUAUCGCAAGUUCCAAGGUCGAUUAUAGGGUCUAUCCAGGUUCUACCUAUAUCAUUAUUUGAAUGAUUACAAUUCACUAAUCAUAACUUAUAUUUAGACACACGAAAAAUAUGAAUAUUAAUAAAGUAAAAAUCUUAAUCAUAAAAUGAAAACUCAGACUAGUGCUUCCAGAUUAUACACUCAUCAUCAUCGAAUGAUAUGGAAUAUCAGAGAAUUGCAUAGAGACAUGGGCUAAGAAAAACAUUAAAACUUGUUCCAAAUUCCAAGUUCCUUCAACUAAAAAUUGGAAAUCUAUCCAUUAAAACAGGUUUCUUAAUUUUUGGAACUUGAAACCUAGAACCUACUUUAGAUAACUUAGAACCUAGAACAUACAAGUUCCCACCGAACGGGUUCCAAGUUCUACUUUCAAACAAUUCUCACCCCUGAUAGUUAUGUUCCCAUCAAUGAAACUUCAAAAGAUGGAAUCUAAAUAUACUAGAGCUUUGUGUAAAAUAAGAUUUUUUUGCAAAACACCAUGGAAAUUUCAUUGUUUUUUAUUGAUAAAAAUGAAUAUCAUUCACGGAGCAUUUACAAACAAUAUCAAAAUGCAUCAUUGUGCAUAACUAUAUCAUGUUAAUGUUUUUAGUGUUGUUUUAAACACUCCUAUAAUGUCUUACAUGUUUCGUGUCAAAGCAUCUCAUCAAUAGUAAUUAAGAAAUAAAUAAAUAAAUAAGAAAAAUCUUUGAUAUAGUAAAUAUAAAGACUUGAUGUAUAUUUUAGACUAACGAAAUUAAAAAAUAAAAAAGUCACCAAGAAAGUAAGCUUUGAGAGAUGAGUUUUUUAUAAGAGCAGUGAUGUAGAAGAGACUACUUUUAUUUUCUAAAUAUCUAUAAGUUCAAGUUUGACGAAAAACCAUAAACAAAAACAAGCAUGUGACAUUCUUAAUUAUGACUAUUAGAUCUUACACAUAAUAAUACAAACUAAAAAAAGGAAGGAAAGUAAAUAAAUUUGGAGCUAUCACUUUAGAUUGCAAAUGAAAUUGAGGAUGAUAUUGUCUUUUUAGUGAAAAUAGGGGUGGGUUUAGUUAUACAAUGAGUAAAAAUAGCGCCGCCCUUUAAUAUUAUGAUAUCUUGUUACUCGUAUUGAAAAAACAAGGGCCUUUCUUUGGAUCCUUGGUGUUCGGUUAAGACAACCUCACCAAAGGAAGGGAGCUUUUGCUUCUACAAUGGCCUCCACAGCCUAUCUAUUUGAUAUAUGGGACGACAGGCUCUACGGAUGUGGUCUUUAUUUUUAACGUGUCAAUGUCCAUACAUCUUAUGCCCCUAAUUCCCCUUGGAUCAUUUUCUUCUCUACCAAGAAGGAACACCUUCUAGUUGCUUUAUAUUCAAGUGAUCUUGAAAUCUAGAUGAAAACCAAGAGGAAGCUUUUUAAGAAUUUGCUUAGGUCUGGACUUUUUAAUAUUGCUAUUUCUUGUUACCUAUAUUUUGCAGUUCUUUUCAUUUGGAUUUUUUUUUUUUGAGAGAGUUUUCUGUUUUUUUUUUGUCGAAAUAUUUGGAGAGAGUUCAAAAGGUGCUUUUUGUUUGACUUUUUCCCCCCUAAAACGAACCUUCCAUUCCAUCAAAGCAGUCCCAAUAUUACGAGGAAUUAGAACCAUUAAGAUAAUAAAAUAAAGAAAACUUCACUAAUACUAUAUUUUUAAGUAUAGAGGGGAGAUCAUUUAAAAAGAAGAAAGAAAAAAAGAAGAAUAUGAGAGUUCAAGACAAAAGGAUGAAUACACUAAGGGCAAAGCUCUUUUGUUAAAUAACAUCAAUUAAUACUUUGCAAUUACUUUUGAAAACGCUUUAUGGAUGUCGAGGAACUAAGGGCGCGUUUGGCAACGAUUCUAUUCUCGGGAACUGAUUCUGACAAGAAAUGAUUAUUUUUUAUUCUGUUCCCGAAAACUGAUUAUGAGUAAAAGAACGUGUUUUGUAACUGUCUAAAAUUUCUGAUUCUGGAAUAGAAUUGCGUUUGAUAACGUGUUCAUUGAUUAUGUUCCAAAUUAUUUUUUUUAUUUUUAAAUAAUUUUUUGUACUUUUGUACUUUUUUUUCUUCUUUUUUUUAUACCUUUUUUCCUUUUCUUUUUUCUUUUUUUCUUUUCUUUUUUUCCUUUUUCUCCUAUUUUUCUUCUUCUUCUUGUGGCCGGUCGCCGGACCGACGACUGACCGUACGAGGGCCGGCGACCUCACCAGAGUGUUGCCGACCCUCGACGAAGUUGGCCCGCGUCGGCCGAGCCUCGCUGACAGCUGGGCGAGGCUCGCCCAACCCCGCCGAGCGUCGCCGGUGGACAGGCGGGCCUCGCCGGGGCUGGGCUAGGCGAGGCUUGCCUGGCCAUCGGUCAGGCUAGGUGAGCCCAGCCGGUGGACAGGCGGGCCUCACCGGGGUUGGGCGAGGCCCGCCUGGCCACCGAUUAGGCUAGGCGAGCCCGGCCGGUGGCUAGGCGGGCCUCACCUCGCCGGUGGACAGGCGAGCCUCGCCCCGCCCCGGCGAGGCUCGCCAGUGGCUGGGCGAGCUCGCUAGACCGGCGGCCGGUGACCGACGGCGGGUUGUGGUGGGCGGCGGCGGACGGCAGCGGGCGGCAGCGGCGGGCGACGGCGGUAGGCGACGGUCGCGGGAUGGCGGAAGGAAAGAAGAAGAGUUUUAUUGUUUGAUUCUUUUUUUUAUUCUCAGACGCAGAAUCAACUUUUUUUUUAUUCUCAAAUCUACUCCCAAACUGAUUCUAGGAACAAAAAUUUUACCAAACGCGAUUCUCGUCCCAAACUGAUUCUAGGAACAAAAAAUCAGAAUCAGUCACUGUUUGGCAUGUUGCCAAACAGGGCCUAAGUAGCUUUCCGUGCAAGAAGAGGAGAUGCAGCUUCCACUUUCAUUGGCCAGUUCCAUCUUCCUCGUCUUGUUCAUGCUUCAACGACUGAACCUCAUCUAAUCAUGUAAUUAUACCUAUGGCCCCUUUUUUAUCCUUCCAUGCGCCAUCUAUACUAAACUUCAAACCUUAGUUUGGAAAGGAAUACAAGAGUUUGUCCUUACUCCAAUAAAAUCUGAUUCUUGAUUUAAUUCAUAUCUAAUCUCCUUCCUAAACAUAUUCAAAUAUUUCAUGAAAUCUUAUAUUGGGAAUGAACUAGAAUAAUAUGAUCAUAUAACUUUGCAUUCUAAUAAUGCCAUGUUCUAGUGCAAAGAAUUGUAAAGGGUGAAGAGCUUGCACUCCAAUCUCAUUCUCUAUGAUGUUUUUCCUGGAUCAAGAAAGCGUCUCAUUGUCUCUUCUUGAGACCUAAAGUUCCAAGCAAAUGAGAUAAUACCCAAUGGGCUCUAUCUCUACAAAAUUUGGGCAAAAGGACAUGUUAACAAAUGUAGCAAAUUUUCCUCCAAGGCUUCACGCAACAAGAAAGAAGGGUCUAAGAUAUGGAGCAAUUGAAACAAGUUAACUUAAGAAGGUAAGACAUUAGCUGUUAUCCUGUACUACAACACUUUUUGCUGCUCAUAAACUCUACCUUUCCAUACCAUUCUAGAAUGUCAGAACCUGGCUAUGAUUCUGAAUUAAUAUUGUCUAGCUGCUGGACAAGAGAUUAAUUUAAACAAAUCAGGCAUAUUUUUCAGCAAGGGCUACCCUCAAACAUUGAAAAAUAAUAUGGCAAGGGAAUUGAGAGUUCCUAUUAUUUUUAAACUAGCAAAUAUCUAGGUAUUCCCUCGGAUUGGGGAGAGUCGAAAAAACAAAUAUUUGCAUGGGUCCUUAGGAGAAUCAGUUCAAAAUUAGAAAGCUGGAAGGAGAAGCUGCUCUCUAAAGCUGGAAAAGAAGUCUUGUUGAAAACAAUGAUUCAAGCACUACCUCAAUAUGCUAUGUCUGUAUUUAAAAUCCCAGUAUCUAUUUGCAAGGCCAUUGAACAGAAAAUUGCUUCAUUUUGGUGGAAGACUAAUGAAAAAAAAGAAGGCAUUCAUUGGAAGAGAUUAGGGGUGAGCACGGUUCCCGGGUAGAACCGAGAACCGGGGAACCGAACCAGAGGGUUAGGUUCGGUUCCCGAUUCCUAAGACACCGGUUCCGGUUCCCGGUUCCCUUUUUCUGGGAACCGGAACCGGUCACAAUUCUAAAAAAAAAAACCAUAGCUUCCCCCGCAUGAUUUCCCCCCUCUGCGAUUCUUCCCCCCCUUCCUCUUUCUUUCUCUCUCUCUCUUUCUUUUCUCCACUUUUCACUCCUCAGUCCUCACGUCACUUCCUGCCCCCAACUUUUUUCUUUUCUUCUCUCUCUCCUCUUUCCCCCCCUCUCGGCCGAGACCCCACCUCUUCUUCUUCUUCUUCUUCUUCUUCUUCUUCCUCCUCCUCUUGCUGGCUGCUGCUUCACCCACCACCACACCGCCGCCCCACUCCCUACUCACCACCAUCUCUUGGCCACCGAACCACCACCACCCACCAUUUGUCCGAUGAGCCGUCUCGCCGUUGAGGCCGACGAGCUGUCGCGCCGUCUGCGUUACCCCUCGCCGCCGUGAGCCGCCGCCGCCGUCUCCAAGCCACCAUCACCACCUCUUGCCACCGCUCGCUCGGCUGUCCAGGCCGUUGUUGCUUCGAACCGCCAUCGCCUCCGCCAGAACCGAGCUCUUCCCCCCUUGGCCGUGGGUUGAGCCGCGACCGCCGCCGUCUUCGCCGCGCCGUCCGUGCCGCCGUUGGUGCCGUGAGACUCGUGUGUUCGUCGCCGUCGCCGUCACCGCGUGCUCACCGUGGCCGGACCUCCCUUGAAGAUCGAUCUGGCCACGAACGAUUCGAUGGGGAACUGCCGGUGGCCGGGCUUUGCGAACCUCGCUUGCGGCUCGAUGAAUCGGAUGGCCUCAUCGAGGUUCCAGUUCGCCGCCUCCAUCUUGUGAGCCAUGGCUUUCGCAAAGUGCCUCACGGAUCGUAAGGUGUAGUGGAGGACUUGGGCGAAGUGGGUCGGGCUCAACGACGUGAGCUUGAAGCCGUCGAACAGGGGCGAGACGCCGCUCGCGUUGAGCUUCUUCUCCGACGACCAGUUCUCGGAGACGAGCUCGUCGAGCUUCCUUCUCAGCGCGGAGAUCUCCGACUCCUUGCGCUCCGCCUCGGCCUCCAUCUUCUUCAUCGUGAUCUCGUACGUCCUCAUGAGGCUCUGCUGCUCCUAAAUCUCUGCCAACAUCAGCGUCACCUGUGGGGAGAGGUCAAGCUCCUUCCUGAGGAACUUGAUUACGUUAAUUCCAGACAGUGGAAGAGAUGAAUUUAACAUCAUGCGUAAGGCUAUUUCUCCAAAAGAAUUUAAUAUCAUGCAUAAGGCUAACGUAGAUACCCCUAACAAUAAUGAAAGGGGAAGAAAAUGGGGAGAAAUAUCUGCUUCUCUCUUUUAUAUCAGUUCAUUCUUUCAUUAAUUUUUCAAAAAUUUUAGAUAUGGCUGUUGGUAAAUGCUGUGUCCUAACUCGCAUGCCGACUUAAAUUGACCUAACUCCAUAUUCUCUGUUAUUUCAUUUCUUUCUUUCUUUUUUCACUUCUGUUCAGCUAUUGUUUUCGAUGCUCCAACAACUGUCAACACCUUUAAAGUUUCUGCUGACGUUGAAUUACCAAAUUAUAUAUUAGAGAAUGAAGAACUAUAAAUUUAGUUGUCUAUUCAAAUGUAAAAGAUUCACAUUGCUAUGUAUUGGCAGGUACCGAAAAUGGAGGGCCAACUAUUGAAUUAUUUCGGCUUUCGGAUAUUCGCGCUCACUACGAAAAUGAAAAAAAAAAGAAAAAAAAAGAACCUGUUGGAACCUGGAACCGACCCCGGAACCUGUGACAGGGUAGGUUCCAGGUUCUCGGUUUUGACGGGUAGGUUCCAGGUUCCAAAAAUUGAGGAACCUAUACCCGAGGGUAGGUUCCAGGUUCCGGACGGAACCGAACCGGAACCGGGAACCGCUCACCCCUAGAAGAGAUGGGAUUUAUUGAAAAUCAAAAAAGAUAGAGGUGGUAUGGGUUUUAGAAAUUUUCUCUCUUUUAAUAGAGCAAUGUUAGGGAAGCAAGUAUGGCGACUGGUACAACAACCAUCUUCUCUUUGGGGCAGAUUAUUCAAGGGGUUAUACUAUCCAUACAUGGAUUUUUGGCAUGCAAUAAAUGACAUUCGACCUUCAUGGGGAUGGAGAAGCCUGGUCCUAUGGAGGGAUUCUAUAGUACCCAAAAUCAUGUGGAAAGUAGGAGAUGGAUCUAAGAUUAAAAUCAGGGAUGAUAAAUGUCUGCACAGAGGUACUAUUGAGGGUCCAAUGCAUGUCAAUGAACCUUCUUUAGUCUCAGAAAUUAUAGACAAAGAGCAAGGGAGAUGGGAUGAAAUUAAAAUAGCAGCACACUUUGAUGAACAGUUAGCUGAAGAAAUUAUGACUAUCCCUAUUAAGCUCCAAACAGAAACGGAUCAACUUGUAUGGACUAGCACGCAGGCAAGCAAAUAUACAGUGAAAAGUGCGUAUAACUACAUCAAGGAGGACAAAGCACAAGCUCAGGAAAAUCAGGCUACAACUUCUUUUCAACCUCCCCCCUCACUCUAGAAAGACAUUUGGAAUUUGCACACCCCACCCAAGAUAAAAAAAAAAAAAUUAUGUGGAAUUUAUGCAACAUGCUCUCCCAACAAAAGAUAACCUGUUUGGAAGGAAAAUAUUACCUGACCCCAUGUGCCCAUUAUGCAAUUUUGACAGGGAAACGGUUGAACAUCUAUUCUUGCUGUGUCCAUGGACAAGACAAAUUUGGGACACUGAGCUGAACAUUAAAAUUUCACGUCAGGCUUGACAAGGAUAGAAGAAUGGUUUUGUCAACUCAAAAAGAAGACAACGAACCCUCCAAACCUACACAUGGUGGCUGUAAUGUUGUGGAAUAUGUGGAAGGCCCGAAAUCAGGCAGUCUUUCGGGGUAGAAAACUAGAGGCGUCGGCUAUCAUCGAUUCAGCACAAGCGGUCCUCAAAAGCUAUCACAAGUGGAAUCCAAGGAAGGGUGGAUCCAAAGAUAAUGGAGAAGCCGAACCUGAAAAUAGAGAAAUCAGCACGGAAAUUAACGAGACUAAUGCAGAGUUGAGACAGGGAAACAGAGAAUCGGGUGAGGAGCAACAACCUAUGACUCGUAUGCAAGAACACAGAGCAGAUGAUGGUUUGCGAAACAGGGUAGAUGAGUGGAGAGGAAACAUGAGAUCAAGGUUGUGUGGUGAGCUGAGCCUAGGUAGUAGAGUGGCGUCGGAACAGGAGUGGAAGGCAGUAGAGCACGACGGCGAGACGAGCACUCUUGGCCUAGCACCUCUAACCCUCAACUUACUGGUGAAGUCAGGUACAAAGCAAGGGAAUCAAGGACCAGGAGGCAGAACGGUGAGUUGCGAACCUGAACCCGACAGGAGGAAGCCAAAGAGAACAAGCGAUCCCUUCACAAAUCUGAAACCCAAGAAGCUGCAUGUUGGAGGACCCACGAAGUUGGCGGAUCUGAAUCUUGAGAAAUCGACCCCUCUCAACUCAGCAAUGAUAACCAUCAAAUUAUUGGUGAAGCCGAGAGCGAAGUAGACGGAUCAAUGACCAGUGGGCCGAACGGCGACCAGCGAACACGAACCUGACCAGAGGAAGUCGAAAAGGACGGUCGAUUCGAAAGGAAAGCAAGUGAGAAGAAUGGAGAGCGGCGCCCUAGAUUGAGAGAUGAGCCGAGACAGAGCCAUAGAGUGCCGAAAAUGGAAGGAUGUGCUGGUGCAGAGGGCAAAGUAAGAAGAUCUGAAACCUCAGAAGCUACUCAUAGGAAAUCCCUCGAAGUCGACAGAUCUGCAACUUGAGCAACAAAACCCUCUCAAACAUGGAUUCCACCGCUAGGAGGAGCCUUGAAGAUAAACAUAGAUGGAACAUUCUUACCUGGUUCGUUGGAGAAUUCUAUUGCCUGCAUAUGCCAUGAUUCGGAGGGGAGGAUGGUGGGGGAAGAGGCUAAAGCAAUCAAAGCCUCCUCCCCCUUGAUGGCCGAAACCCUAGCACUUUGGGAAGCCCUCAACUUUUUUUACCCUAAAAGACACGAAGUACUUCUCUUUGAGUUAGACAGUUCGCAACUUAUUAAAGUAAUGACCAGUUCACAGCAGUUAAGUUGGGAAGUUCAACCUAUUUCUGCAAAUGCAAGGAAAAAAUGCAGGCCUUUUCACAUGUUCAGAUAUCCCAUUGCUCUAGAGAGGUCAAUCGUUCUGCAGAUUGGGUAGCUAAAGCCCAUAAGAACAACUACUUAUUUCUGAAUUGAGUUUUAUCACCUCCACAAAUUUUAUGGGACCUUUUGUGUAAUGAUGCCCCUUUAUCGGGCCUCUCAUCUUUGAUUACUUAAUGAAAUGCUUUAGCUUCUGACCCAAAAAAAAAAAAAAAACUCUAGCUUUCCAAAUUUUGCUCGAAAUCUUAGAGUUGUUGCCAUUUUCAAUUCACAACUUGAUGAGUUUGUAUUUAACAAAAUAUAUUCCAUCAGUAAUUGAUUUGCCCACCCAUAUGGAAUUCGGCCCAUGGAUCUAAAGAAUGGCUUGGAUAACUUUGUUUUCCCUUCGAAUCUAGUACAAGUAAUUUGGUCAUAGACAAAAGAAAUUAUUAAAGCUUCAUUUAUGAUAACUUGACAUUAAGUGAAUCAUGCAUGUCUCCAAUUUUAGUUAGAUGGAAUCCUCCACCUACCCUGUAGAUUGAACCAUAUACUUAUGAGGCCUUUAAAGGCAAUCUAGGACUUGAUGGUGCAAAGGGUUUAUUUAGAAACAAAGGGGGCACCGAAUUAGUGGUUUUGCUGCAUUUGUAUAAAUAUGUUCAUCAACACGAGCAGAACUUUGGGCUUUGUAAUUGAGAAUCAACUUCACAAAACAACUUGGAUUUUAUAAGAUUAUAAUUGAGAUCGACUCUGAAAGCCAUUGCUAAUCUUCUUAAUUCGGAGUUGAUGAUUGAUAAUGCCAAUCCUAUUUUGCUUAAAGAUAUCAAAAGGCUAUAGGGCCCUUUCACUUUGAGUUUAAAGUGCAACAUAACUCUCGAGAAGAAAAUCCAUAAGCGCUUAGUUACUAGCUUCUUUUCAUUACCUCCUAUAUAAAGUUACUUCAUGUUUUAUCAGCAGAUAAAAUAGGGAUAACUAGAGCUGCGACGUUAAAUUUUUGUAUUAGGCUUCUGCCCUUUUUCGUACCAAAAAAAAAUUUAAAAAAAAAAAUUCCAAAUAUUUUGUCAUCCAAAAGUCACCCAAUUCCAAACCAUUGGUCCAGACUCCAGAAGGCAUCUCCCCGAGAGGAGAAAAGACCUAUAAAAUCGACCAGAAACCAGAUCGAGAAUCUUCAUCCCGAACCUCCUCCUUCGAUCUCUCAGCAAUCUCUCUCUCUCUCUUUCUCUCUCUCGAGCGGUCUCUCUCCUUCCUCCUUCAAGCCUCAAGGUAAUCCGCCGAUCCUCCUUCGCUGUGUCGACUACAAUCUCCGUCUGCCUUCUGGGUACACAGGAUUUCUUUGCGACUCUCGGAUUGGUCGAGGUUUCGUCUGUUUUCGCCUCGAUUUUGCGAAUCGUAGCGUGCGUUUUGCCUCCGAUAGAUGUCCGCCGGAUCGUGAGAUGAUCCGCGUGCGGAUCGUCUGAUUUCUCGCGCCGGGGGCUUAGGUCGUCGGUUUCCCUCGCGAUCGGUUUUCGCUUGUGCUGGUUGUUCGCUAAUUUCUGUCUUUUGAUAGCUUCAGUUGAUUGUGUGCGUUGUCGGAUCUUAUCUGUGAGUUGUGCAGACGUUUGUUUGUUUGGAGUGAUGAGGAUGGAAGAUAAUUUUUUUUUUUUUUUUUGGGUCAUUCCUGUGGAUUGAUUCCCCAUUUUUCAGAGCUCUUGGCUGUCUAGUUUCUAUACGAUUUAUAAUGUCCAUGAUUUGUUUAAUCCCAAUGCUUGACCACUACUCCUGUGAUUGCUAACGGUACCUGAAGUUUUGUUGUGCGAAGGGUAUUCUGUGUUUUUGAUUAAUUGAUUUGGUGCCUAAAAUUUAAUUUAGAGUUUCCGCAGCCUUGGUUGGUGCCCGCAAACAUGUGUUGAUUGUUGUGUCGUUUCUCGAUUUGGGUUACAGAAGAAUCUAGUGAAACGUUCUUGUUGUCUCUCUCCCUCUUUCUUAAGUAUGCAAAUCAAGAAUUGAAUUGCAAUGACUGACAUAAGCCACGAAGACGUCAAAGAGUGUGGAGCGGAAUCUAAUCUGGCUGGUUUACUCGAUAUUUCUUGCAUUUGAGGAGUUGCAAUUUUGCAAAUAUGGUUUGUUUUUGCUAUGUAUACUUGUUCUAGUUUCAUGUCACCUAAUUUCUUCCCUUUUUUUUCUGUUUGAAUCUCUUAGAUGCAAAUUUUCGUGAAAACCCUUACUGGCAAGACCAUCACCCUCGAGGUCGAAAGCUCAGACACAAUCGACAAUGUGAAAGCCAAGAUCCAAGACAAGGAGGGAAUCCCCCCUGACCAGCAGAGGCUUAUCUUUGCUGGGAAGCAGCUUGAGGAUGGACGCACUUUGGCUGAUUAUAACAUUCAGAAGGAAUCCACCCUUCACUUGGUUCUCCGUCUCAGGGGUGGCAUGCAGAUAUUUGUGAAGACCCUCACUGGCAAGACGAUUACCCUAGAGGUUGAAAGUUCGGACACCAUCGAUAAUGUAAAGGCGAAAAUCCAGGACAAGGAAGGAAUUCCCCCAGAUCAGCAGAGGUUGAUUUUCGCGGGCAAGCAACUUGAGGAUGGCCGAACUCUGGCGGACUACAACAUCCAGAAGGAAUCAACACUCCACUUGGUGCUUCGUCUCAGAGGUGGCAUGCAAAUCUUUGUGAAGACCCUCACUGGCAAGACCAUAACCCUUGAGGUUGAAAGUUCGGACACUAUCGAUAACGUGAAGGCGAAAAUCCAGGACAAGGAGGGAAUCCCCCCAGACCAGCAGAGGUUGAUUUUCGCUGGCAAGCAACUUGAGGAUGGCAGGACGCUUGCAGACUACAACAUUCAAAAGGAAUCCACCCUUCACUUGGUGCUCCGUCUGAGGGGAGGAAUGCAAAUCUUUGUCAAGACCCUAACUGGGAAGACGAUCACUUUGGAAGUUGAGAGCUCCGACACCAUUGACAAUGUCAAAGCCAAAAUUCAGGACAAGGAAGGCAUUCCCCCAGAUCAGCAAAGGCUUAUCUUUGCUGGGAAACAACUUGAGGAUGGUAGGACUUUGGCGGAUUACAACAUCCAGAAGGAGUCCACUCUUCACUUGGUGCUGCGACUGAGGGGAGGCAUGCAGAUUUUUGUCAAGACCCUUACUGGGAAGACCAUAACUUUGGAAGUUGAGAGCUCGGAUACCAUUGAUAAUGUCAAAGCUAAGAUACAGGACAAAGAAGGCAUUCCCCCAGAUCAGCAGAGGUUGAUUUUCGCCGGGAAGCAACUUGAGGAUGGCCGGACACUGGCGGAUUACAACAUUCAGAAGGAGUCAACUCUACAUCUUGUGCUUCGCCUCCGCGGUGGAAUGCAGAUUUUUGUCAAGACUCUGACCGGUAAGACCAUCACUCUUGAGGUGGAAAGUUCAGACACCAUCGACAAUGUGAAGGCGAAGAUCCAGGAUAAGGAGGGCAUCCCUCCGGACCAGCAGAGGCUGAUUUUUGCCGGGAAGCAACUGGAAGAUGGGAGGACACUGGCCGAUUAUAACAUUCAGAAAGAGUCGACUCUGCACUUAGUCCUUCGUCUGCGCGGCGGCUUUUAAGUCUCUUGCGAAAAGUUUUCAUCGAGUCAAGCUCUGUGUUUAUCUAAGUUUGGUCGGUUCUAAUGUUUGGCUUUAUGUUUGGGUAAUAAUGUCUGCUGAUGGAUGGAAUUGGUAUGGAUAAUAUGUCAACUUCUUUGGUUUGGUCAUCAGUUUGAUGGACAUGAAUUGAUCUAGUAUUCUCUUAUUUGAGGGUUGUGGCUUUUGAGCGUUGUUUCACUAGUUGAACUCGUAUAUUCCAGUUGUUAGUUUCUCUGUUGCUUACAUAUGUAUGAAUAUGGCGAACCAAUCGCUUGCAUAUGGCGAAGCUAUGCUUCGAAAACCCUGCUGAGCGACUUUUAGUUGCUUUUGGGAAGGAAAAGCAAUAUAAAUCAGGCUGCAUUAUCUCUCUAAGACGAAAGAUGAAAUAUAUUGGCAUAAUACAGGAAGUAAACAUGUGAUUCAUGUCUUAAAUUAGCAGGUUUACCGUAGGAUGCCUUACUUUUUUCUCUAAUCGCAGUUUAACUUAUGUUGCAGCUUCUGGUUUUGCUUUUUCGAUCAAUCGUCAGAAAACCUAGCAUCGAGCCAGACUUGGGAGACUUCAUCCAUUAUCACUAAUUAAAUCAAUUUUGAUCUGGAUCUAGAGUCACCAUCCACUGAUAUAACAUGUUCUAUAACGUGCAAAUCUCAAAGCUGCAUCUUCUGAAGGAGAGCCGGAGCUGCUUGGUACAAUCAAUGCCGAUCACAGAUUAUUGUAGCCUACUGCUCUGCUUGGCACAGGGCUCGUAUAAGAUAAAGAUUUUAUUACGACUGCGAAUUGUCAAAGUCACAUAAUAACACACCCAAAGUAUGAAUAAUGUACAUCCCUUAUGCGAACCCUCCGCAUAUGAAGCUCGAAACACGUCCACUCACAUAAAAAAAAAACGAGAAAACUGCUUCAAACGAGUAACAGAAGACAGAACAACUAAGAAGUAACUUUUAGGCUUUGUAGCAGACUUCACCAUCACAGACCCAUCCUUCACCGGCUUCUCCUCCUUCCUUUGCCUCCUCCCCAGCUGCUUUAUCGUCUUCUUCGUCUUCUUCUUCAUCCAGCUCGAUCUUAGUCGACUUCUCCAACUUCUUCAGAUGUUCGGUGGUAAAAGGAUAAGCAUCGGCCCCAUGCUCCGAUAUAAGAUUUCUUGCUUCUUUAGUCAGUGUCCGGCCCGUCGGGCCAAUGGCUAUGAGCGUGGGGAUCCCGUCAACCUUGAAUUUGCGAUUCAGGGAUUUCUUCCUCUCGUCGCCAAAGGGAAGCGCCAGCCACGGCAUCUGAGCAUAGUAAUUGUCGAAGGCAGCUUGGUCCUUAUCGCUGGAGAUGAAGAUCAGCUCAAAGGCAUUGUUUUUGGCCUUGAUCUUUUCAUAUGCCUCCGUGAGCACUGGCAGGAAAUCACGGCAAGGAGGGCACCAGUGUGCCGAGAAGUAAAGGAGGACAGUCUUCCCUACCAAGUCCAAUACUGGAAUCUGCAAUCCAAGUCAAGAAACGACCUUGAGUCGAUUAGAAAAGGCACGUGAAAAUGCAUACACGGACAUGAUUUUCCAGUUACAAACCGGGUUUCACCUUGUAUCACCUCGAGUAACACGAGGGAUGACGAAAUUAAGGACUAUAAAAAUUUCCAAGUCACUAGCUUCUUGGAGGAUAAACAAAUUUACCUUGGUUCCUUCCUUUCCAAUGACGAAAUCUCGAUCCCCUGAAACCAAGAUUGACUCCAAGGUCUGAGAUUCUUCCUUUUUCCUCUGUAUCUCUGCAAGCUCUGCAAACUUUUCUGGAGUGAAAGGGUAAGCUUCAACCCCAUGCUCUUCGACAGUUUCAGCAACAUUGGAAUGGAGAGUCUUCCCAUCAGGACCGAUUAUGACAAGAGUGGGUAGGGUAGAAAGCUCAAAGUACCUAACCAAUUUCUCACAUUUUUUGUCUUUCAAUGGUAAUGAAAGCCACGGCAUGCUUCCAAAGGCUUGGUUGAAUGAUUCUUCAUCAUCAUCUAGAGGUAUCUGAACGAUCUCAAAUCUCUCUCCUUUGGCCUUCAGCUUCUCAUGAACAUCCAGUAAAAUUGGCGUGAAAUCAAUGCAUGAUUUGUAAAUGGACAAUGAAAAAUAUAGACCCACGGUUUUCCCUUCAAGCUCAGCAACAGGAACCUAGUUUGACCACAUGACUAGAUUAGUAAAAGAGGAUGGAAAACCGAAUCAUGAGCAAACGCGACCAUCAGUUUCAACUGCAUCAAAGAUCUUUUUAGCUUACCUUCUUCCCAUCAGAUGAAACUACGAAGUCACGAGACCCAUCGACCAAAAUAGAGGUCACUGAUUGGUUUCUCUUAGCAGCUUCUUCCUGGUCUUUCAAUUCUUUGAUGCGUUCUGCAGUGAAAGGGUGACCUUCCACUCCAUACUCGCGAACAAUCUCCACCCCACUAUCCGUCAAGACUGUACCAGUGCCAUCCAGAAACACAAGGUGGGGUAUUCCCCUCACCUCAAACAAUUCAUCCAAGCUAUCACGCUUCUCCGAGUCGGAGAACGGAAUUGCAAGCCACGGCAUCUUGGAAAAGUAUCCACUGAAGGACUCUUCAUCCUCAUCUGCAGAGAUGAAAAUGAUCUCCAGAUCACCUUUUGGGGAAAGUUCAUUGUACACCUCCGCCAGAGUCGGGGUGAACCGCUGGCACGGACCACACCACGACGCGGAGAAGUAUAAGCCGAUCUUCUUCCCCUUCAAGCUAUCAACUUUAACCUGAUACAGGACAAAAAGAUUCCUAAUUUGAGUUCUUUCAUAACGGUAAUCAGCAAGCAAGGCACACUAAUGUUAAUUGGCCACCUCACAAAAUCCUUAAAUGGCUCAUGAUACACCCAAAUAACCAGAGAAGCACUUCAGUUAAGCGCUCCUCAUUAAUUCAAUCGCAAUUUCGUAGUCUCGUCGACCAAAAUAACUAAACCACACUGAAGACGCAAGCAUUCAUACUAAAUCGAAUCCAUAUAUACUGCGUCCACGUGACUCUAUGUAUAAAUCUUUCUUCAAAAAAUCAUAAAUCAAUUACCAAUGAUCCAGUUUCUGAAGAAAACAAAUGGAUAGAAGUAAUCUUGAACUAAACUCGCUUAUCUUGAACCAAACUCGCCAGCUUGGCCAUCCCAAACCAACGGCUUCGGAAUCCCGAACUCCCGGCAAAGAACAACCAGAAAGAACUUCGGAAUUCGAAGUCCAUAGGCGCAAGAACCCGCAUCUUCCCAAUCCGACAAGAAGAUAACCGCCCAAAAAGAAUCAGAUCAACAAUUUCUCAACCUCCAGCUAACUUCGUCUCUUCAAACAAACCCAUCACCACCAGAACAAGAACCUCUCGCGCGAAAAUGGGCACCUCGCAAAACGACCCCCGCGCCCCAAAGAACACGACCAGCUUCAACAAGGACGCCGACCCACGAUUCUUUUUUCCCUCCUUUUUCCCCCCGAAAGAGCAGAAGCAAGCAAAAAGGAAAAGAACCGAGCCUCACCCGAUCGCCGUUGUUCCGGACGAGGAAGUCCCUGUCCGGAGAAGACAGCAGGGACUGCACAUCGUGCGAAGCCACCGCGCCGCCUUCGACAACAUCCGCCAUCCUCGUCGCUCGAGCUCCUCUGCGUUCCGGGCGUCUGCUUGCUGAACUUUGUUCUCCUGAGAAUCCCCUCCAAUGGCGGGCGCCUGCUCCUCAGUAUUUAUACGCGACAUGAAGAAGCUUCUCCGGCACGCAGAUAAUUUUCUUGAUUUUUUUCUUUUUAUUAUUAAUGACCAUUGACUCCUUAGUGUUUUUUUUUUUUUCAACCUUUUUUUUAUUUAGAUUUUUCUUUUUUCGGAUGCUUCCUGGGACUUUCCGAACCGCAAGCAAGGCAUCUCGGGAAGUGGGGUCCAUACGUGGGAAUGUCGCGGGGGAUGGAUGCCUUCGCCACGUCAGCAGAUCGAUGCCUUCGUUUUUUUCUUAUUUUUGAUUUUUUUUUUCUUUCGCCAUUCCUUACUUCCUUUCUAAGAGUCCACGUGUCCAGCAUCCAAGGUCGAAGUUUCCCCAGAAUUUUUCUUCUCGCCCGGUCGAUUCCAUAAUAAUGGCAUAAGUAUAUAGAAAGUCAUAAAAUUUAUCAUGUGAGUAUAAUCUAGUCUUGAAAUUUUCGAAAAGUACAAUUAAGCUUUCGUCAGGAAAGUGUAUUUGAAUUAUAAAAUUUUCAAAAAGCACAAUCAGAUUGGUCCAAUCAAAUCUUUCCGACAAUUGUAUUUUUUAAAAAGUUUUAUGACUAAAUUAAACUUUCGUGAUAAAUUUUAAGAUUUGAUAACACUUUGUGGAAGUUUUAUUACUUGAUUGUACUCUCGUAAUGAAUUUUAGGAUUUCAUUACACUUUUUAAAAAAUUUAGAAUUUAAUUAUAUUUUCCUAACAAAUUUUAGAAUUUCCAAUACAUUUAUCCCUAUAAUAAAAGUUGAAACUUUAAGUAAUUUGAAAUGUUUUGUUUUAUUUCACAAAUUUGCGUUUUGCCUUUUCCGUUAGCACGUGGCCGUCAAUUGAAAAACGAAAGCGUGCAAUUGCUCAACUCGAGUAGAUAAGCCUGAGAGUGUCAAUUCGCUUUUGCCUUGCUUAGAGAACAUUAAAAAAAAUUUGGUGAAAAGUCGUCAAAAGAUAAUGUUAUUUAUUUCUUUUCACUAAUUUUUUUUUUUUUUUGGGCGAUAUUGAAAAGUAUUAAUGGCCAAGAAUGUGGUCGGAAAGUCAAAAUGGGACAAAUAAGAAAAGCACAAAAAGAAAGGUUGGAGAACGUCGGUUGUCUAGGCGAGGACGAAACGGAUGACGUCGUCAAAGGUCGGAUGGUGACGUGUGACGCGAUUGCUCCUCGUUGAGACGCGGCACGUACAAAAGGUAUGGAGAAUAUUCCAUAGUUGAUGCUUCUUUUUUUCUUGGGGUGUGAGUAAAAUACAUUAAUGCAAUUGCUUACAAGCACAGUUCUCUAACCUUGACAAAAGAAAUGGUAAUAUAAAUUUAGGAUCUGACUAAAUUUUUAAAAAUUUAACAUUUUAAAAGAAAAAAAAACCUUAAAAAAAUGCUUGAAAACUCUCAUAAUUAUAAAAAUUUAAAAUUCGUAUGUCUACUUUCCAUUUAAGCAGUUUUUUCACAACAGCUUCAAUUGUGAAAAUGAGUUAUGCAACUCUCGCAAAAAGAUAAGUAAAUAUAUCACAAUCAUAGUUAUUUGCAACUUACUAUAACUUUUUAAUAAGCCGCUUCACUCAAUAUUAAGAUCUAUAGUUUUACAAAAAGAAUCCGUGCCACAAAAAAUUUUAGAGUAAUAUAUUCAUGAUUUAUUAUCUCAAAAUAAUUUUUAUACUGCCAAAGAAAAGGGUAAUGCUUUUUUUACUCCUCGUUUGGGUUGGACACUUUUUUUUUUAUUGUUUGACUAUACUAUCCGUUGUGAAGCCCACCACUUCUUAUACAACUUUACAAAAGUGAUAUUAUUAUUAUUAUUAUUUGGUAAUGCUUUGUAUUUUGUUUCUUCUUUUUUUUUUUUUUUCUGGGCAAGUCCCACUUUCCUCAUUCUUCUUUCUUUCUUUCUUUCCAUACCUUUAACGUCUUAGUUCUCUAUUCUUGCAAAUCGUCUUUCUAUUUUCUCUUUUGUAGGCCAUUGUCUUCUUUCAACGCCUCUAAUUCCUUCUUUAUCUUCUCUCAAAAAUCUCUCAUGCAAUUGCAAUCUCCAAAAAAACUACUUACUUCAAUACCCAGACAGAUAUUGAAAACUGAAUCAAAUUAAAUUAUUAAUUCAAAUCUCAAUUCUUAUUACCUAAAAGAACACAACUCACCUAUUGCCCUCAAUUUUAUGCCUACAUAUGGUGGAGACACUAUAAUUCAAAUCUCAAUUUUCUUUCUUGACGCCUUUUCUUUCUCUAGACACUAACAUGUACAAAAAGAAGAGAAAAAUAUACAAAAAAAGGAAAAGAGAGAAGCAAUUCUUUUCAAUAUUACCUUUCAUGGUGCAAUAAGAUCGUGUGUACGGUGGAGAAAAAGAGCUUGUUGGAGUGGUCAUUGGUGAACCCAAUGUCGGCGCUAGUGAAAGUGUAAAGGACAACGAGCUUGUCAUCAUAGAUUGAAAAACAGAGGACGAUGGGGUUCAUGCAAGAAGACAAAGAAGGAACAGCGGGAGGCGUAAAAAGAAAAAAAUGACCAACGAGAGAGGAAACAAAGAGACGAUUUAUAAAAGCGGAUACUGAGAUGUCAAAUGCAUGAAGAAAAGAAGAAGAAGGAAAAUGGGACUUGCAAGAAAAAAAGAAGAAGAAACAAAACUAAAAAUAUUUACCAAAUAAUAGAAAAAGAUCGCUAUUAUAAAGUUGUAUUAGAACUAAUUCUCAUAAGGGAUGGUAUGGUCAAAACACACACAAAAAUGAAGUGUUUAAACUAAAAGAAGAGUGGAAAAAGCAUGGCCUCAGAAAAAAUUCACAUCACUAAAAUCUCACCUCGUAAAACAUGCUAAAAUUUGUUAAUUUUACACAAAAGAUCCCUUAUGUUUCAAAAAUAUGUCAAAAUCCUUAAUUUUUCCUUGAGCCUUUGGCAAUUUAAGAUGGAAGGAGGGAGGAGGAUCAUAUUUCGUUCCUAAUUUCUACUCUCAAUUCAUUUUCUUUCGAUCACACUUCCCCAAAAUAAUAUCAUUGAAAAAACUCAUUUAUAUUAAAUCAUCAAGUUAGAUUCAUAUUGUAUCCCGAUCAUCUUAAUUAUUUAUUAUGCGUGUUUCAACGUCAGCAAUUUAAUGGGAAUAUUAAACAGAAGUUAACGGAUGAUAAAUUUGUCACGAUUACAUUAAUUUCAAAUUUUUCAUAAUGUGAAAAUCAAAUUUAAGAACAGUAAUAUGGACAGGAAAUUUUUAAUGGUAUUGAUCCGCACGACAUAUCACAUCAUGCCACCUCAACAUUCGGUUCCAAACUGGCUUUUCAAAAAUUUCGAAAAGACCGAGAAAGUCUAGGCCAAAGUCUUCGCGAAUUAAUAAUUGCCGACAGUGCUGAUCCAGGGCAGGUCGUCCUGGGAAGAUCAGAAUAUGAAACCUCAGUAGUGCACAGACAUUGAGAAAAAAACCAAGAAUAUAAUCAUCAUUGUCUUUUUCUUGCGUUUGUUCGGAUUCCCCACUCCAAAGCCACGUGUCCUUUAUUUUAUUUUUUCUUUUUUCCUAUUUUUUUCUUUGCAUUUGCUUCGAAUAUCACUUUGAUAUGAAUGUCGCCUUUAACUUUUUCUCUUUGCUCGUUAAAUCUAAGUACAAAAUAAUUGCUAUUUAUAGUCACCUGCAACUUUUUAAAAUUUUUCUCAUUCGAAUUUUCUUUUUUAAUUCAAAGAGUGUUCAAGAAGAGCUUUUUGCUUCACUUAAAUCCAUCGACGAAGUGGAAUAAAUUCAUUUAUAGUCCGAUAAGCCCUCAGUAUAUCUAAACUUUACCCAAUUUUCUAAUGAAUUUUUAAAAACUCAGUUUCCUUAAAAAUCAUAAACAUUAAGGGUAUGUUCGUUCAUGAUAAAGGAAAAUAUUUUCUAUAAAAUAACUUUCGAGUUUUUAUUUGUUUAGUGCUUUAUAGAAAUUGAUUUUUCUCUUGUUAGAAUAAGAGGCCGUUUUUCUUCCAAUCCAAGCAUGGUGAUGCUUUUGAUAAAUUAAUUAGUUUUCUGUUAUCCAAAUACCACAAAGUCUGAUAAUAAUAUUUAUAAAAAAAUGAUUUUUUUUCAAGCAAACAAUCCUAAGGUCUGUCCCAAUUCUACUCCGAAUCUUUUUUUUUUCAAAGAAAAAUUAUCAACUUUCACUUAAGUCCCCAAUUAACCCUCUGUCCAAAUGUCACUCAUUUUUUCUUUAAAAUCAUCAACAUCAUGAGGCUACUAUUAUUUUAUAUGAAAGUGAGGGUGUUGAUAAAGAUGUAGAUUUUGAUAAUGAAGAUUGAAAUGACCUUGAUGUUGAUAAUAUCAAAGAAACUAGUAGCAAUUAUUUUAUGUCUAGGUAGAUUUAGGACUAAAGUGAAAGUUAGUAAAAUAUCUUUAGACAAAGGAAGUUCGAGACAAAAUUGAGAUUAAAUCUAAAGUUUGAGAGUUUUUAAGGGUAUUAGGACAAUAUCUGGAGGGUCAGCUCACUGAUUUUUUAAGUCCCAUAAUCACUUACCCCGCCACAUCUCGUCAAACUACAUUUUGGAGAAGCUCGAAUUGCAAAAUAACUAAAAGGCCCAACUAUCAAACAAAGCAAAUUAGGUUUCAACAUCUUGUUUUGUUUAUUGAACUGGGGCUAUUGUUAGCUAAUUUAUUGUGUCAUGAAACAAUUUUUUUUUAAUCCUUUUCCCUUUAAUGGAAUUAAGCACCGUAAUCAAUGAAUAGACGGAGCAACCUUCUUAAACUUAAAAACACAUAAAAUAAGGAUCACAAGGGGACAUAAAUAAUUUAUGUUAUAUAUUCCCACUUCUAAAAAGAUGAUCUCAAACAAAUGAAAUGACAUGUCAAUAGUUGUAUGUGUUAAAAUAUUUAUAUAUCAAAUCACGUUUUCAUCGAAUAAUUUAAUUUUCUAAAAUUAUUGGUACAAAACCUAUUCAUGAUAUCAAAGUAGAAGGUCUUGUAUUUAAAUAUUUACUUGGUCCAAAAUCCCACCGUGCGCUUAUUAUCCUUCUUCAGCUUUGCUGAUUUUUAUUUAUUUUUAACAAUUUAACCAUGACUUUCUAAUUUACAUAGAUCAAUAUAUUUUUAUUUGAAAUUUCUUAUAUAAUUGUUUCAACCCUAACAACAAAAUGUUCUUGUCUAAAAUCAAUAUAAAUAUAGCGUUAAUAAGGUUAUAAUAUUUUACCCCAAAAAAAAAAAAGUAAGCACACUAGAAGUCCUAAAAUUUAUUGCAAAAGCGCAAUUGAAUUCUAAAAUUUUUAGUGCAAUCAAGUCCCUUGGUUAAUUUUGUCUAACUUAGCUAAUGGAAAAUGUUAGCAUAGCAUUUUUACUAUUUUUUUCUCUCCUACAUGGAGCUAACGUAGUCAAAACAAAAAUGAUAAAGCUAAAAAGGUGUUAUUUUUAUCCAAAUUUGAUUUCUUAAUUUAAAUGUUAUUUAAGAUUUCAAGUGCACUUACCGUACAAAGAAAAGUAAAGCCUUACGCAUGACAAUUUUUAAAAUUGUGAUGGAGCUAUGUCUUCAAAAGGAUAAACUUCAACCACUGGUUCAUUUUCUUGAUUAUGAUUCCGCCACAGUAAAUCGCAUGGGACUCCAAACAUUUCUCGACAUUCUAGACUCGAUCAAAAUCUAUAGAUUUAGGUUUAGUCUUGAAUCGCAGUUAAUGCCGACAUUUCUUUGUCCUUACCAAAGAAAGAGAAAAAGAAGUGUGGAAAUGUUGAAAUUGAAGUCUUUGAAUGUACCAAGUUCCAUUUUCUGCUAAAGAAGGAAGGAACAUUCGAAGUCAAAUGUACUGGUUCAAUCUGCAAAUUUUACCUCUUCGACGAAGUGGAAGAUAUAUGAACAUCAAGUCUCAUGCUCUUGACAUUUACAUUUGAGUUUGAUAUAAGGGGAAGUUGAAUUAAUCCAUCUUCUUUCCCCAAGAACUAGACAUUGCUCACAGGUGCUAUUUCGUGAACGAGAGCUGCACAAUUCGGCCUAGAAAAGCCGACAGUUCUUGCAAACCGAACUGCUUCUAUAAGCAUGUAGUAUCACUAUUGAGUAUCAGCAAGGAACUACUUUUGCAGCACUUCUUCUGUCUUGUUUCUUACGAUCGCUCUUCCUUAAGAAGACUAGCAAUAUGCAUUCCGGGAGCAUGGGAUCAUCAAGCAAGACUUUGGAGAAUUAAUGCGGGAUGAUUAACUUUUCAUUGCCACAAAUUAUAUCAGCAUAUCCAGAUGUAGAGUCACCAUCUGCUGAUGUAACGGAGGACCUAUUACCAUAACCAUAAACUGAACAAGAACUAACCACUAGGACUUGAGGAAAGAUCCAUACAAAGUGUAUUGAUUAAACAUGUUCUGUCAAGUCCAGUGUGCAUGCAAAUCUCGAAGCUGCAUCAUCAAAAGGAGAGACGGAGACACUUGCAUGACAAACGGACAAUUCAAGCCUACCACUCUGUUUGGCACACGGCUAGUCGACGAUGAACAUUAUAUCACGACAGCAAAUUGUCAAAGUCAUAAUACACGCCAUAUAUCUCACAUACAAACCCUUUGCAGAUCAAGCUCGGAAACAUCCACCCAGAAAAAAAGAAGAAAAAAGAACUGCUUCAAAGAAGUCAUAUAUAAAGAAACUACAAGACAGUAACUUCUAGGCCUUAUAACAGACCUCACCAUCACAGAUUCAUCCCUCUUUGGCAUCUCCUCCUUCCUCUGCUUCCUCCCCAGCUGCUUCAGCAUCUUCAUCUAACUCGUUUUUAGUCGUUUUCUCUUCUUUAACAGCGCAUUUUGGGUGGAGAUCAAAGUCACACUCCUCGCAAUAAUACGACCACCCCUCCCCUGCCUUACCGCAGCCAUCACAAUUGUACCUUCUCCUCUGAGCAGGAACGAGCUCGUGCUUUUCAUGCAAAGGAUGCUUCAACUUCUCUGGCCAGCCUUUUAUACUUUCCUUGAACUUUUCCUCAAACUUCUUGAGAUGUUCGGCAGUAAAAGGAUAAGCAUCAGCCCCGUGGUCCAUUAUAAGAUCCCUUGCUUUUUUACUCACCGUCCGGCCCGUUGGGCCUAUGGCUACAAGCAUGGGGAUCCCCUUGACCUUGAAUCUGCGACUCAGGAAUUUCUUCCUCUCAUCACCAAAGGGAAGCGCCAGCCAUGGCAUCUGAGCAAAAUAAUCGUCGAAGGCAGUUUGGUCCUUGUCGCUGGAGAUGAAGAUCACCUCAAAGGCAUCGUCUGUGGCCUUGAUCUUUUCGUAUGCCUCCGAAAGCACCGGCAGGAAUGCUCGGCAAGGAGGGCACCAGUGUGCCGAGAAGUAAAGGAGGAUAGUCUUCCCUACCAAGUCCGAUACUGGAAUCUGCAAUCAAAGUUAAGAAACGACCUUUUAGACGAACCACCAAUCAAUGGAGAAGGCAUGUGAAAACUGCAUACAUGGAAAGAAUUUUCCUAGUUAUGGACCUGGUUUCAAUCCUUUCCUCAGAUCAAGUAACCGAGGGACAACAAUAUUUAGGACCUCAUUGUAGACAUUAAAAAUUUCCCCAGUCAUUAGCUUCUAGGGGAAAAAACAAAUUUACCUUGGUUCCAUCCUUUCCAAUGACGAAAUCCAGAUCCCCUGAAACCAAGAUCGACUCCAAGGUCUGAGAUUCUUCCCUUUUCUUCUCUAUCUCUGCAAGCUCUGCAAACUUUUCUGGAGUGAAGGGAUAAGCUGUGAUGCCAUGCUCUUCGACAGUUUCGGCAACGUUGGCAUGGACAGUCUUCCCAUCCUGACCGAUAAUGACCAGAGUGGGUAGGGUCGACAGCUUAAAGUACCUCACCAACUUCUCGCAUUUCUUGUCUUUGAAUGGUAAUGAAAGCCAUGGCAUGCUGCCAAAGGAUUGGUUGAAUGAUGCUUCAUCAUCAUCGAGAGGUAUCUGAACGAUCUCAAAACUCUCUCCUCUGGCCUUCAAUUUCUCAUAAACCUCCAGUAACUUAGGCGUGAAAUCGACGCAUGCCCUGUGCACGGACAACGAGAAGUACAGACCCACUGUUUUCCCUUCAAGCUCAGUAACAGGAACCUACUUUGGCCACAAAACUAUUAGUAAAAGGAGGAUGGAAAACCGAAUCAUAAGCACAUGCGACCAUCAGUUUCAAAUGCAUCGAAGAUCUUUUUUAGGUUUACCUGAUUCCGAUUGGACGAAACUACGAAGUUACGAGAUCCAUGGACCAAAAGAGAGGUCAAUGAUUGAUUUAUCCUGGCAGCUUCUUCCUGGUCUUUCAACUCUUUGAUACGUUCUGGAGUGAAAGGGUGACCUUCCACUCCAUACUCACGGACAAUCGCAACUCCGCUAUCUGUUAAGACCGUACCUGUGCCAUCGAGAAUGACAAGGUGGGGUAUCCCCCUCACCUUAAACAAUUCAUCCAAGCUAUUGCGCUUGUCCAAGUCGGAAAACGGGAUUGCAAGCCACGGCAUCUUGGAAAAGUAUCCACUGAAGGACCCUUCAUCCUUAUCUGCAGAGAUAAAAAUGAUCUCCAGAUCACCUUUUGGGGAAAGUUCAUCGUACACCUCCGCCAGAAUCGGGGUGAACCGGUGGCACGGACCGCACCACGAUGCAGAGAAGUACAAGCCAAGCUUCUUCCCCUUCAAGCUAUCGACCUUAACCUGAUAUAGAACAAAAAGAUUCCUAAUUUUAGUUCUUUCAUACGGUAAUCAGCGAGCAAGGCACACUAGAUCACUUGACCACCACACAAAAAUCCUGAAAGUGCUCAAGAUACACAUCCAAAUGCCAACUGCAGAAGCACUUCCCUUAAGCACUGCUCAUUAAAUAGUUAGCAAAUCAGCAGUCUUCUCCACCAAAACAAGUAUACCACACAGAAGGUGUGAGCAUUUACACUAAAGAGCAUUACUUCAUAGCAAUAUCGGAUCCAUAUACACUGCUCCCACCUGAUCCAACUCCAAGUAACAUGUCUUUCUCUAAAAAGUAAUGCAUCAACUACCGAUCAUCCAGUUUCUGAAGGAAACAAAUGGACAGCACUCGAAAAUGAUGAUCCUAGAUCAGACCAACUUUAGCUUCUCUUGAACUAAAUUUAAAAACCGAUCAGCGAAACAACCCCACACGAAGACGAAGGCCACGAGAACUUCGACAAGGACGCCCACCCAUAAUUCUUUUUCUUUCACCUCAUCCAGCGAAAGAGCAAGAGUGAAAGAAGAGAACUGAGUUUCACCUGAUCGCCGUUGUUCCGGAUGAGGAAGUCCCUGUCCGGAGAAGACAGGAGGGACUGAACAUCGUGAGAAGAAGCCCCGCCUUCGACAACGUCCGCCAUCCUGGUCGCGUUCGUUCCUUGUGUCCUGUUCUCGUGUCUCUGCAGAGAGUCUGCCUGAGAAUCCUCCUAUGGCGGGCUCCUGCUGCUCUGUUUAUAUACAUAAAGAAAAUCCCGUGCAAGCACAUAUAUUAUUUAUUUUUAUUAAUAUUAUUAUUACGAUUAUUUGCUCUUUAAUUUUCCCUUUUUCUAUAUGUAUAAAUAUAUAUAUAUAUAUAUUAUUUUUUUUUCGGUUUCUGGAUGCUUCCUUGGACUUUUGGGGACGGCAAGGACGUCAAGGACGGUAGGAAACACGUGGACACGCAUGAUAAAUCUCAGUCUCCAUUUUCUUAUUUUGUAUAUAUGUUUUAAUUUACUACCUUUUACCUUUCCUUGCUUCCUACGCUUCCGGUAAGCGGUGUGUUUGGUAAUCAUUCUGUUUCGAGUAAUACUUUUUUAUGAGAAAUGAUUUUUUUUUCUAUUUCUGUUAUUGGGAAUAAUUUUUGAACAAAAAAAUGUAUUUAGUAACUUACCAAAUAUUAUAUUCUCGGGAUAAAAAUACGUUUGGUAAAAUUCUUAGAUUUUUUUUAUUUCUUUUAUUUUUUUAAUUAUUUUACUAUUUAUUCUUAUUUUUUCCUUUUUCUUUUUUCUUUUUCUCUUUGGUUGGUCACUGGUGACUGCCGUGGUCGGCGACGUCUGGCGUGCUUGCCAAAGUCUCGCUAGGCCAAGGUGAGGCUCGACGAGGCUCGGCCUCACCUAAGCGGUGCAAGGGUUGGCCUCGUGUCAGCAAGGGAGGCUGAGCCUCGUCGUGGCUUGGCGUCUUCGAGAGUUAGCGACGCUCCGGCAAGGUCAUCGGCCCUCGUCUGGCCGGUUAGGCCGGCGACUGGCAAAAUGAAGAAGAAGAAGAAAAUAAAGAGAAGAAGAAAAUAGAAGAAAAAAGAAGAGAGAAAAAUUGAUUCUAGAAAUUGUUUUGAAAAAAGUAAAUCACUUGAAAAAUAUUUUCUUAAAAAUAAUCACUUGUAUCGCUUACAAUAAUGAAUAAGUGAAAAAAUAUCUUUAUUGUCCAUGAAAUUGUUUAUUUAUAAAUUAUUAUCGAUUUAACUAAUAAUUUUAAGAGAUAUAAGUGAUGAUUUUUAGGAACAUAUUUUCUAAAUCAUUUAUUUUUAGCAAAAUAAACUGAAUUUUAGAUUGCAUCUUAUUAGUUAUAGAAUUUAACUCAUGACCCAAAAUAAAAGAAAACUCAUGAAUAAUCCUAUUUCAUACGGUUUAAUAUUCAUCAUGCAUGCCGUCUAGCGCUUAGGGACGCGCAGGAAAGUUUGGGAUGGCUGGGACACGUCAGCAAGUCGGCUUUAUCUUCUCAUUUUAUUUGUUAUUUGACCCCUUGACCGUUGCUUGCUUCCUCCACAAGAAGUUCAUCUCGAAAAAUUAAAGCUUGACAAAAUUUCGUUUUUUUUACCCUCUCAAAUUUUUAUAUAAGUUAGAUUUUAAAAGCUUGACAAAAUUUCCUCUUUUUACCCUCUCAAUUUUUAUAUAAUUAGAUUUUAAAUUCUUUUGAGAGCUAAAUUGCAUUUUUGCCUUUUUAUUCGCGCAUGGGUUGGCGUUAUGUGAGAAAUUAAAGGUAUGAUUGCUCAGGUCAAUUUUUAAUUAUAAUUUAGAUUUUUAAGUUUUGAAGAAUUUCUUUCUUAAUUUUUUAAGAAUUUCAGAUUUACCCCUUAAAUUUUUGUUGGUUGCCAAACAAAAAAUAAAGUUGAUGGGCCUAAUAAUAAAAUAGGGUAUAAAAUGGUAAAUCUAUCGCUACGAAUCUAUCUAAUGAAGAACUAAUUCCCUAUAAAAAAAAAAAAAAUUCUCAACUUUAGGUCUAGUUCCAAUUCUCUCUUAAUUUUUUAUCUAGAAAAAAAUCUAAAACUUUAGAUCCAGUCCAAAUUUGUCCCCAACUUUUAUUUGACUUAAAAAACUCAACUUUAAAUUCAAUCUUAAAUCUAUUUCAAACUUUUUAUCUUUAUCUAAGAGAAAAAUCAUCAAUUUUGACUUUAGUUUCAAAUUUGCCUCCAUUAGUCCUCUAUUCAAAAAUCAUUGUUAGUUGUCCGUAAUUUUCAUAUUCUAUAAUAGUUUUAUUUUGGAGAUAACUUUUCACGUCACCUUCCUAACGUGGAUCUCUUAUCAAUGUGUAAAUGCCAUAUUAAGUAGGGAUUACACCACGAGCCUAGAUUUGAAAAUAAAUUGAAAGCUGGUGAUUUUUUAGACAAAACAAAAUUCAGGUUUUGGGGUAUUUUCUUUAAAAAAAAAAAAAUAGAGGCAAAUUCGGGACUGAAUCUAAAGUUCGGGUUUUUUUUUUAGACAAAAAAAAUUGGAACAAAAUUACGAUUAGACUUAAAGUUGGAAAUGUUUUAGGAAAUUAGAUAAUUUAAUCAAGAGAAAAAUCAUAGACAAGAAAAAGAUAAAUACGAAUUCGUUGAGUUGAUAGGGAUAACUGAAGAAAAUAAUGCAAUUGAAAAAUGUAAAUUCCAUGAUAUAAGAAGUUGGCAAAAAUUAGGAUGAUAAGGCUGACUUGAAAAGGUAAGGAUAAUUUCUUUGCUUCGUCACGCUAACCAACCCAAACUUGACCACCAAGGAUAAUUCACUUUCCUUUGUUCUCUCGAGGCUCCAUGGAGCUCCAUUAUAAGCUAUUUUACCCCUUUCUUCUUCUUCUUCUUCUUCUUCUUUUUUUGAUCUUUCUAAACUUUACUAAUUCACAAUUAUUUAGCAUAUAUGAUCCACGAAGACUGUGAUUAACAACAAUAAAUAGCAACAAAACAGCCGCAUCAAAUAGAUGAAAAAUCUCGUAGCUUUUUCUUAAGCGAAACCUAUCAUUUUUCAAUCCUCUUUGAGCUUCAAUACCCAAAAGCAUCAAUUACAUUGUAAUGUUUAUAGCGGAGAAAUUACUAAAUCAAUCAUAAAUUUAUAAUACGGAUGUAAAUUUCAUCAUUAAUUUUUUCAUUUCUCAAGCCACUUCAAAUGAUAAUUCUAAAAGUUGAAAAUUCUACAAAAAUCCGAAUAGGAGGAUGAGACCGAUUUGCAGGGAGGGUGAAAAGGGGGGGAAUUAAAAAGUAUUAUGCGAAACUUGGUGACCAAGGAGGUGUUAUCCUUAGUCAAAAAGGAGAUAAAGAAGGAAGAACGUGAAGGAGGGGUUGGAAAAUGACCGUGCGCCUGACGUGUCUGCGCUGUUGGUCACAAGGACGUGUUCUUGCUAGUCAACAUCAAGGUGAUUGUCGUACAAAAAGCAAGGGGGGAUUCCAUGCCGGUGUUUCUUUUUCUUGGAAAAUUGGUGUUCGAUCUCAUCCUUAUUGGUAUUCACACUCUUUUGGUCAAGCUCCUAAGCAGGAACGAGGACAAAAAGCAACAUGAAAUUGGAGAUCAAACUAAAUUUUGAAGAAGGGAGGAGGAAAACUAGCAUUAUAAACCGAAAUCCAUAUGCCUAACUAGCAUUCGGAACAGAUUUCUGAACAUCUUCAACAGGUCCUCUCCUUCCUCUUUGUUUGUUUGUUUUGUUUUUGCUAAGAAAGUAAGUAAAUAGAUUAUUAGAAUGAAAAAAAAAUAAUAUAUGGGGUGCAUACUCGAGAGACUUGGUAAAAAAACUAUAAAAUAAUUAAAUAAUGAAAAUAAUUUUAAAAAAAAUGUAUAUAUACUUAUCAAGUUCAAUUGAGAAUUGGAUUGGUACUCACCAAUUUCAUUAGAUUGAAAUCAGGAUUUGGAUCAGUCCUCAUGGGAACCGCCAAUUUUGUACUAGUUCAGCCUGAUUUUGUGCCGUUUAGAUGAUUUCCGAUUUCUUAACACACCUCUAAUUGUGACUUUUAUAAAGUAUAUUGUAAAUACCUCACAGUUAUGGCUACUUUAAAAUUUCAGCACCCUUUGAUGACUUUCUAGGAAGCCACCGCAGCCAACAUUGAAGUGCUACAAUUUAUAAAAUAUGUAUUUCAUAACCACAAAAAGCCACGUCAUCUUAUACAUUUUUACCAAACUGGCUCUACUAAUUUUGAAAGGGAAAGACCAAGAACAAAGAGUCAACGUCAAGUCUUCGGGCAUUAAUUAUUGCCGACGAUACCUAAUCCACGACGGGUGGUCCUGGUCAAGCAGGCUAGAAAAACUCACUCUUUGCACGGAUAUCGUGAAAAACAGAAUAUAACACGUGUUUUUCAUUUUUAUCUUUUGUACAAUUUAUUUUCGAUUUGCUCUUAAUCCGACUUUUAUAUGGAUAUUUCCUUUUUACUUUCUCUUGUUCAUUAAAUUUUUGCAUCGAGUACAUAAAUACUGAUGCGUACCUGUAUUUUUCAAUCUUUUUUCAUUUCAAAUUCUUUUCAUUUACCUUGCUUGAAAUUUUUUUUGCAACUUUACAGUGACUUUCUACAUUUAUAUAUGUUAAUAUUUUUAUUUAGACUCUUUUAUAUUGUUGCAUCGAUUUCACUGGCAAAUUAUUUUGGUUAUGUCCUUACUUUUGUUAUCAACGUAAGUACAUUGUCAAUAAGUAUGAUAUACAAAAAGGGGGGAAAAGAAAUGGUGAACUCGUACCGACUCAGGAUUGGAAGGAAAAAAUACACUUAUCGAAGCUAAAUCGCCUGGUGCCAAUCGUGACCACUAGCUCAUACAGCCAGCUGCAUUGUCUAUUUUCGACAGCCGUGAAGCAACUUUUUAUGAGAGCAUCUUAAUCUCUCUUUCUGCUGGCAACCCACUUCAUCAAAUACUUUACAUGGCCAGCCCGACCACAUUUUUUCCCAUUACUUUCCUCACUGGCAAUGAGUUGAACUGAAUGAGUCUGGAAACGUCAAAGGUUUUGGUGGAAUGCUAGACUGCGUAUCGGAGGACAGUGUUGAACUGGAGGAAGUGCCUAAGGCUUGAGGAAGGCUCGUGUGGAGGUUGAUACCAGAGCUUUCUUCUUCUCCAUGGCUAGUUGGUUCCCAUUGCUCCACGAGGGGAUGCAAAAUAUUGACAAUGUGGCCCAUGUCCGGUCUCUGGAACGGUUCCUCAGCAGUGCAAUGACGAGCCAGCUCAGCAACUUUGAUUAUACUCUCUAAGGUUUCUUCAUCGGGGUCAAGAGUGUGGUCGAUAGCUUUCAGGAUGUUUUCCUUAUCGAUCAGAACUCUACGGAACCAAGUGACCAAGUGCGCCCUCUCAUCUGGCAUGGUGUUGUCUAAUGCUUUUCUACCGGUAAUGAUCUCCAUCAAGACAGCACCAAAUGCGUAAACGUCCACCUUUGUAGUUACCCUUCCAGUGGCUGUACGGACAGAAAAAGACCCAUACAAAGUUCAAUGCAAUUUCAUCGAUAAGGAAAAGAAAAGCCUCUGCUCAGAUUUCAUGUUAAGAGAAGCUAAAAGCGCCCCAAGAAUGGGUAACAUAAAGAAGUCACCCUUGGUUUCUAAUCAACAAUUUGUAGUCAGGUGAUUUCACUAUCCCCCUAAUGUGGAUCAGAGCAAUUGAAUUGACUUAGAUAUUUUAACAGCAAUCGUGCACAUUUGAGUUAAUUAAUGCGUGCUGAUCAAUGAGGUGAAAACAUAGAUAUAAAGUCCACUAGUUCGUCUGCAGGACUCCUAUCCAUUAUUACUACUGAAAGAUAUCACACUUAUGUAAUCUCGAUGAAAGAAACAAUAGAGAUCAAUUUACCUAAUGCAUAUUCAGGAGCUAAAUACCCAAAAGUUCCAGCCAACUGUGUCUGCAUGGAAUACUUCCCAUCAGGAACAUUUUUAACCAAACCAAAGUCAGCAACUUUGGCUCUCAUGUCAUCUUCCAGCAGUAUGUUUACUGGCUUCAAAUCCCUAUGGAUAAAUUUUUGUUGGGCUAAACUGUGCAGGUAUUCCACUCCUCUAGCAACAUCCAAAGCAAUGGUCACCCUUUGCUUCCAAGUCAGAGGUGCAUACCCCUUCUCUUGCCACUCGAACAGAUGUUGCGCGAGAGUCCCUUGUGGCAUAUAUUCAUACACUAAAAGCCUCUCAUCACCUUUGAUACAAUACCCUAAAAGCAUGACUAAAUGCCUAUGCCUCACUUUUGUAAGUACUGCAAUCUCAGCUUGGAAUCCCUUCAUUCCCUUCGUGCCCAUUGCCCCAGAUUCCAUUCUUUUAACAGCAAUUUUGGUGCCAUCAUGCAACUCCCCUUUGUAAACAACACCAAAACCACCUCUUCCUAAAAUGUUCUCUUCACUAAAAUUACAAGUCGCUUGUCUAAGGACUUCAAUUGAAAUUUUAACAUUUCCUCCUUUAAGAACGGGAAAAUCACUAUGGUCCCCACUGCUUUGGCUAUGCAAUUCACUUGGAAGCCCACCAUAACCAUUCAUACCAUUCCCGGCCCCAUUCUUAGCUACUUCCAUCCCAAUUUCCGGAUUGUCUACACUAUUAAAUUUCCUGUGUCGUCGGAUGAUGUAACGGAAUUUGUACAAGACAAGCAACACCACCACGAUGAAAAUAAGGACACCUACGACAACAGCAGCAAUUACACCAUCUGAAAGUGAAGAACCAUUUGACGAUCCAGGUGAGCCACCAUCAGUCGAAUUCGUCCCUGAACCACCGCUGCCUCAGCCACCAGUGUCCGUUUUACCAAUUAAUGGAUUACCAAUAGUAGUCAAUUUCACUGAGGCUGGGAAAACCGGUAUCGACCCAUUGAGAUUAUUGUUCGACACAUCAAGAACUUGAAGCUGAGUCAGCGUAGUCAAGCUUUCCGGAAUAGAGCCAGUAAGAUUAUUAUCGUUCAACAGCAGCGUGCGGAGCAAGGUGAGAUUCGCAAAUGCGGGCGAGAUGGUCCCACUAAACCCCCGCUUCGAGAAAAUAACAGAGGUCACAUUCUUCCCCUGGCAAGAAAUGGCACUCUAGCUGCCGUUGCAAGCAUCAUUCCCAGUCCAAGAAUCCGCCGGCGUGAUCGGAUACCCCAACGUACUAGCCACCUCAAGCAACGUAGUAACCUGUGGGUCGCAAGGGCCCGGCGCACUGUUGCAAAAGCUAUUGGUACCCCCGUAGGUAACGCUAAUUCCACUGCUAUUACUAGGGACGGGACCCUGCAACUUAUUGUUAUCCAAGGACACAUUCUUCAAGCCGGGGAGUGCCAACAGCGAGGCGGGCACAAGCCCAGUGAACUGGUUGUAGCUAAGCUGGAGAUCGAGCAAAUUAGUGCAUUGCGAGAGAUCGGGGAUCGGACCUGUGAACUGGUUGUUCUGGAGCCAGACCCGGCUCAGCUGGGUCAUCCCGGCCAACACGCUGAUGCCGCCGGAAAGCCCCAUCGCCUGGUUGUUGAUCCAGAGGUUCUGGAUCGAUGAAGUGCCGAAGGAGGAGGGGAGGGGCCCGGUGAGGUUGUUGUAGGAGAGACUCAGACUCAUCAGGCUAGGGAGGGUUCCGAGGAAGUCAGGGAUCGUGCCGGUGAUGUUGGUGUUGUCGGCGUAGAGGACAGUCAGGGACGUCGAGGCGUUGAGCUCCGCCGGGAUCUGCCAGGAGGGGAGGUCAUGAUUUUCGCUGAGGCUGAGGGUCUGGAGGCUGGUGAGGCCCUGGAAGGCGCCGGAGGUGAUGGAGGUGAAGUUGUUGCCGUCGAGGUAGAUGGACUGGAGGGAGACGAGGCCGGCGAAGGAAGGGACGGCGCCGGAGAGGGAGUUGCUCUGGAGGGAGAGGCUCUGGAGCUGGGAGAGGGAGGAAAGAUCCGAGGGGAGGGCGCCGGAGAGGGAGGAGGAAGAGAGGUUUAUGACGGUGACCCGGGAGGAGGAGUCGCAGCUGACGCCUGUCCACUUGCAGUAGGUCUGGCCCGAGGACCAGCCCGACGGCUUGAGGGCGGCGAGGAUCUCGGCCAUGACGGCGGAGUCGUCGGCGGAGACGGCGGAGGCGGCGAGGAAGAGGAGGAGGAGGAGGAGGAGGAAGGGGGCCGGAGAGCGGAGGCUCCCUGCGGCCAUUGUCGACGGCGUUGCUGUGGGUCGAGAGAGAGAAAGGCGUAAGCAGAGGGGGUGGGAUGCGCGGAGAAGGAAACAGAGGAAGUCGCGGUCGUUCUCUGUUUGUUCUCCUACGAGGCGAGAGAGAGAGAAAAACCCAGCAAAUUCAAGUGUCGAGAAGACUUUGCGGGAGUGUUACGUAUUUACUGAGGAGCAGGUCUUAUGAACAAGAGAAGGACGCGAGGGAGAGCGGCAUCACCCGGGAAAAUGGGGUCCAACAAUGUAGGAAACACGUGGACGCAUCGUACACGUCAGCAAAUCUCAGUCUCCAAUUUUCUUAUUAUAUAUAUAUUUUUUCGGUAAUUGAUAUAUAUUUUUUAAUUUACCCCGCUUUUACCAUUCCUUGCUCCCUACUCCCCCGAGAAGCCGCAUCUUUACCCUCCGAUGCUUGAAGUACUCAAAAAGAAUUUUGAUUUCAACCUUCUCAAUAUUAUAUUAUAACAAGUUAUGUAUUAUUUUUUUUUCAAAACAGUAUUUUAUUGAUGAGCUUGAGAAUUUUGCCUUUUUUGUAGGCACCCUUGCCUCUCUCCCUCCCAUUAAAUUUGAGAAAUUGGGGAAAUAAAAGAGGAAAUCAUUGGUGAAAAAUUCUAGAAGAAUCCGAAAUCCGCAAUGAUUAGGAGGAUGGGACGAAUUUGCAAGUAAUGUGGAAAAGGGGGAAGUAUAAUGCGAAACUCAGUGGCCAAGAAUGUGUUGUCCGUUAGUCAAAAUAAGAGAAUAUUCAAUUUCGAUGCUUUUCUUUUUUCUUGACUUUGCUAAUGAGAAAUCAAUUAGGAUUAAUUUUCAGUCAUUCUUUUAUGAUGUGAUACUAUCUGUUUGUUAAAUAAACAGAAAAUCCAGGAAAAAAAUUGAAAUUAAGGGUGUGUUUGUUUUGAAAAGAAUAUCACUUGAAAAAUAUUUUCUUAAAAAUAAUCAUUUGUAUUGCUUACAAUAAUGAACAAGCGAAAAGUAUCUUCAUUAUCCAUGAAAAUGUUUAGUUAUAAAUUAUUAUCAAUUUAACUAAUAACUUCAAGAGAUAUAAGCGAUCAUUUUAAAAAAAAAAUACUUUUUAAAUUAUUUAUUUUUAGCAAAAUAAACUGAAUUUUAGGUUGCAUCUUAUUAGUUAUGGAAUUUAACUCGAGACCAAAAAAAAAAAGGAAAACUCAUGAAUAAUCCUAUUUCAUAUGGUUUAAUAUUCAUCAUACAUGCCGUCUAGCUCUGAGGGAUGCGCAGGAAAGAUUGGGAUAGCUGGGACACGUCAGCAAGUCGGCUUUAUCUUCUCAUUUUAUUUGUUAUUUGACCCCUUGACCGUUGCUUGCUUCCUCCACAAGAAGUUCAUCUCGAAAAAUUAAAGCUUGACAAAAUUUCUUUUUUUUACCCUCUCAAUUUUUAUAUAAGUUAGAUUUUAAAAGCUUGACAAAAUUUCCUCUUUUUUACCCUCUCAAUUUUUAUAUAAUUAGAUUUUAAAUUUUUUUAAGAGAUAAAUUGCAUUUUUGCCUUUUUAUUUGCGCGUGGGUUGGUGUUAUGUGAGAAAUUAAAGGUAUGAUUGCUCAGGUCAAUUUUUAAUUAUAAUUUAGAUUUUUAAGUUUUUAAGAAUUUCUUUCUUAAUUUUUUAAGAAUUUCAGAUUUACCCCUUAAAUUUUUUUUGGUUGCCAAAAUAAAAAAGUUGAUGCGCCUAACAAUAAAAUAGGGUAUGAAACAUGGUAACUCUAUCCUUACGAAUCUAUCUAAUGAAGAACUAAUUCCCUAUUUUUUUUUUAAAAAAAAAAUCUCAACUUUAGGUCUAGUUCCAAUUCUUUCUUAAUUUUUUUUGUCUAGAAAAAAUUCUAAAACUUUAGAUCCAUUCCAAAUUUGUCCCCAACUUUUAUUUGACUGAAAAAACUCAACUUUAAAUUCAAUCUCAAAUCUAUUUCAAACUUUUUAUCUUUAUCUAAGAGAAAAAUCAUCAAUUUUGACUUUAGUUUCAAAUUUGCCUCCAUUAGUCCUCUAUUAAAAAAAUCAUCAUUAGUUGUCCGUAAUUUUCGUAUUCUAUAAUAGUUUUAUUUUGGAGAUAACUUUUCACACCACCUUCCUAACGUGGAUCUCUUAUCAAUGUGUAAAUGCCAUGUUAAGUAGGGAUUGCACCAUGAGCCUAGAUUUGAAAAUAAAUUGAAAGUUGGUGAUUUUUUUAGAUAAAAAAAAAAAUCGAGGCAAAUUCGGGACUGAAACUAAAGUUUGGGCUUUUUUUUAGACAAAAAAAUUGGACAAAAUUAAGAUUAAAGUUGGAUUUUUUUUAGGAAAUUAGGUCAUUUAAUCAAGAGAAAAAUCAUAGACAAGAAAAAAAUAAAUACAAAUUCGUUGAGUUGAUAGGGAUAACUGAAGAAAAUAAUGCAAUUGAAAAAUGAAAAUUCUAUGAUAUAAGAAGUUGGCAAAAAUUAGGAGACUGACUUGCAAAGGUAAGGAUAAUUUCUUAAACUUUUUUUUCAGACAAAAAAAAUUGGAACAAAUUUAAGAUUAGACUUAAAGUUGGAAAUUUUUUAGGAAAUUAUAUCAUUUAAUCAAGAGAAAAAUCAUAGACAAGAAAAAGAUAAAUACGAAUUCGUUGAGUUGAUAGGGAUAACUAAAGAAAAUAAUGUACGAUUCACUUUCUUUUGCUCUCUCGAGGCACCAUGGAGCUUCUUCUUCUUUAGAUCAUUUAAUCAAGAGAAAAAAUCAUAGACAAGAAAAAGAUAAAUACGGAUUCGUUGAGUGAUAGGGAUAACUGAAGAAAAUAAUGCAAUUGAAAAAUGAAAAUUCUAUGAUAUAAGAAGUUGGCAAAAAUUAGGAGGAUAAGACUAACUUGCAAGGGUAAGGAUAAUUUCUUAAUCUUUUUUUUUUCAGAUAAAAAAAAUUGGAACAAAAUUAAGAUUAGACUCACACAUGACAAAAUUUCUAUUUCUCGAUUUCUCUGUUUCUUUGUUCCCCGGAACAGGUUUGGAACAGAAAUCCGUUUGGUAACGCAAUUUGAUUUCUCUAUUUCUGAAAUAGAUCUCUAUUUCAGAAAUAGAGAAAUUGAAGAAAUCAGAAGCUGAAAUUUUUAACUUCUUAAUUUCUAAAAUAGAAAUCAGAAACUAAAAUCAAACCAUAUAAAAGAACCUUGCACUUUCUUGCUAACUUAAUUCACUCAUAACCACAACUUCACACAUUAUUGCUAAUUUUCUUUUUCUUAUUUUGCUCGUGUUUUUUUUUUUUUUUUGCAUUUUUUUUUAUAACUUCCUCUUUAUGAUGAAAGGCAAUCGAAUGGGUCCCUAAUUUUCAAAAACGAUCAAAGUUCUUAAAUGCUUACUUAAAAACGAUGGGGCUCUUUCCUCCUAGAAAAGGUACGGGUAUGGCCAAUUGAAGAAAAAGUUCUUACAUAAUAGAUGAAUAAAGAACGUGCCUAGAAAUUUAACCUUAUUUUUUUACGAAUUCAAAAUUCUUGCAAAAUCAAAAUAAUUAGAUUGUUACACAAUCUUGAAUUUUAAUUCGAAUGCAAAAGAUUCAAGAGAAACUCUCUCUUUGCUAUGCAAGGGCCAUUAAAGGUUCAUUGAGCAACAAUAAAGAAAUUAGGGAUGAGUAACUGGACUAAUUCAAUUCCAGAAUCAAAAUAAACCGACCUUCCCCCAAUUGAUUCCUAACCAUAAAUGUUACUUUAAGGUAGAAUUCUCUUAUAUUCCUUUACACCAUUAAUUUUAUUUUGUUGAUAAUCUUGUAUAAUACUAGUUUUUGAUAAAAUGACAAGGCUGUAUAGGCGUCAUUGAUGGCACCCAUAUUCAUGCUUCCGCAGUAUUUGUCUGAACCUACGUAGGAUGAGCUUGCAAACGAUACAUUGACCAAGGAGGGAAACCAAAUAAAUAUGCUUAGGAAAACAAUUUCUAAUAAAAUGGCAAUAGAUAAUAAUAUGCCGGAAAUUCUAUGAAAUUGUAUUUUCAACGUUUGUAAUGUAUUAGUAUUAUUUCGGCUAUUAUUUUGUAUUUGAGGAUUUCCUAUGUUAUUUUAGUAUUAUUUCGACUAUUAUUUUGUAUUUGAGGAUUUCCUAUGUUGUUAUCUAAUCAAUUUCUAUUCCUAGAAAUAGAAAUUUUGUUCUGUUAUCAAACGGAUUUCUGUUUUAGAAAUAGAAAUUUUGAGUCGUUAUCAAACAGGUUUCUUUGCUCAGAAACUUGUUCGGGAAAUAGAAAUUAAGAAAUUGAUUUCUGGCAACCUUAAAGUUGGAAAUUUUUUAGGAAAUUAGAUCAUUUAAUCCAGAGAAAAAUCAUAGACAAGAAAAAGAUAAAUAUGAAUUCGUUGAGUUGAUAGGGAUAACUGAAGAAAAUAAUGCAUGAUUUACUUUCUUUUGCUCUCUCGAGGCACCAUGGAGCUUCUUUUUCUUCUUCUUCUUUAACUGAAGAAAAUAAUGCAUGAUUUACUUUCUUUUGCUCUCUCGAGGCACCAUGGAGCUUCUUUUUCUUCUUCUUCUUUAACUGAAGAAAAUAAUGCAUGAUUCACUUUCUUUUGCUCUCUCGAGGCACCAUGGAGCUUCUUCUUCUUCUUCAAAUGAUAUUGAAAAUUCUACAAAAAUCCGAAAUAGGAGGAUGAGACCGAUUUGCAGGGAGGGUAGGGGGGAAUUAAAAGUAUUAUGCGAAACUUGGUGACCAAGGAGGUCUUAUCCUUAGUCAAAAAGGAGAUAAAGAAGGAAGAACGUGAAGGAGGGGUUGGAAAAUGACCGUGCGCUUGACGUGUCCGCGCCGUUGGUCACGAGGACUUGUUGUUGCUAGUCAAGAUUAAGGUGAUUGUCGUACAAAAAGCAAGGGGGGAUUCCAUGUCGGUGUUUCUUUUUCUUGGAAAAUUGGUGUUUGAUCUCAUCCUUUUGGUAUUCACACUCUUUUCGUCAAGCUCCUAGACAGGAACAAGGACAAAAGGCAACAUGAAAUUGGAGACCAAACUAAAUUUUGAAGAAGUGAGGAGGAGAUCGAUAACUCAUAGAAUUUGCAAUUAAGGUUUCCCUUUUAUCUAUUUUGUGAAAAGCAAAUAAUUCAAAAAAAAUUAUGAGAACAAGAAAUAUUUUCAUCGCCCACAAAUAAAAUUAGAUAUGAAUAAUUAUCGAUAAUUAAAACAUAUUUUAUUAGCUGAUUAUUUGGAGUGCUCAAUUUUAGGAACGUGUUUUUUGAAUCAUUCAUUUUUCACAAAUAAAAGAAUCUUAUAGACAUCUAAAGACAAAUCAUAUUCAUCUCAUCCUAGCAUAACUUGUAAGCACUUUGGGUGUAUUUGUUUUUGGAAAAAUUUCGUGAUAAAUGAAAAUGUUUUUCAAAAAAUCAUUGUUUACGAAAUUUUUUUACCUUUUCAGAUUAGAGAAUUUAUUUCCUAACUUUGAGCACAUGUUUUAUUAUUAUUAUUAUUAUUAUUAUUAUUAUUAUUAUUAUUAUUAUUAUUAUUAUUAUUAUUAUUAUUAUUAUUAUUAUUAUUAUUAUUAUUGUAAAUGGUUUUCGAUCAACUAAUCAUUUUUAACAAAUUAAAUGCGUGAAAGUUUAAAAAAUUAAUUUGUAAGAAAAUUUAAACAUAUACUCAUUGAUGUCCUUUCCUGAUGGAGCUCUGCACAACUAGCUGCGUUGCCUAUUUCUCCAAUUCAGUGGCGACCAAUCAUUGGGGUUUGCCCAGUGGCUACCCUUUUAACAUGGAAUGAGGAGACGGGGGGUUCAAAUCCCUAUCUUCUCAGGAGUUGGGGUGGGGACGAUUUAGUUUUAGGAGUGGGUUUCGACUCCCAUACUUUGCAAUGAGGCAGAGUAAAAGUCUGAGAGUGAGAGUUAGAAUAGAGAUAGAGUUGGAUUGACAAAAAAAAUGAAAUUUAGUGUCGACCCAUUAAUAUUUUAAUAUGCAUUAGCACGAGAUUUUCACCAAUUAAUAUACAACUCCCUGAAAAGAAAUAUUACUUUCUACAAAAGACAUAUUGGCCCUAAUCCCAAACAUCAAUUCAUUAUGGGGGCAUUCGUAUGGUGUUGAAGAACGAAUCUCCGGAUCGCAAUUUAUCGUAAAUAUUUAUUAUUCUUUCAUAAUUUUUACACAAGAUAUUGAAACACGCCAAAAAUUUAAAAGGGUUAAGGAUCGAUGGUGAAAAUCACUCCUCUCUAUCCUAUGGCCAUCAUUGGAUUUGCUUCCCAAGAAUCUUUUGAAACCUCUUUCAUUAUAAACCGAAAUCCGUAUGCCUAACUAGCAUUUGGAACAAAUUUCCAAUAAUAACUUUAGUCGCAAAAAAAAACAUUCUAACUAGAGAUGAGCAUAGUCCAAAUAGCCAAUUCCUACGUUGGAAUCAGAAACUAUCCACUAAAGACCGAUUUUGAAAAACUUGGAACAAGGAACCGCUCGUUGAUUCCAUAGAUCCACCCAAGAAUUGAUUCUCAAUCCCUACAAAGUUGCAUUUAUUAAUUUAUAUCAUGACAAACCUAGUUUCUAUUUAGAGCACCAAACCUUAUUCGGCCUUAAAUUCAGGUUGAAUUGUGAGCUAUUGAUUUUGAGUAGGGAUUGGGAAAUAUAGAGCAGAACCAAUAGACAAUACUCGUUAAGUAGGAACUCAAUGUCGUUAAAGGUCAUGAUGUGGUCUUCUUAGGGUUUUCUGACAUCAAGAACAUGUGGAGAAUUAGACUCUACGUUAGAAGUCCUAACCUCCAAAGAAAUUAAAAAAUUAAUCACUUGAUCCAUUUUUUUUUCAACAUCAACUAAUUUAAUCAAGGAAAUGGCUAAUGAGAGACCUAAUUAUUGAAUUUCAUAUUAUGACAAUAAAGCACCGCAACAUUUAUGGACAUCUCCAACCGAUUCUCUCCUUUCUCUUCAUUUGUCUAUUUUGUUUUGGCUAAGAAAGUAUGUAAAUAGAUUAUUAGAAUGAAAAAAAGAAGUAAGAGAUUAAUCCUAUUACACACUCAAAAGAUAAAAUUAGUCAAUAAUAUCCAACAAAUAUAUAUUGGUUAAAAAAAGUAGAAAAUAAUUAAGUAAUUGAGAUAUAAUUUCCUUUUUUUUUAAUAUAUAUACGUACUGGUCUAAUCCAAGUAGGCGAUUCCACGCAUGUAAUCGAGAACCAAAUCAAUACUCACUUGUUUUAUUAAAUUGGAACCAGGAGCCAGACUAGUUCCCACGGGAACUACCGGUUUUGUGCUAGUCUAGUCUAGUUUCAUGCAAUUCCCAAGUCUUUUGAUCCAUCUGUUUUCAACAUCAACUAAUUUAAUUAUACUCUUAAAAUGAGUCAUUGGCUCUUAAUUUUGUAUCAUGACAACGAAGUGCCACAAUAUUUAUGAACAUCUUGAAUAGGUCCUCUCCUUCUUCUUUGUUUGUUUGUUUUGUUUUUGCUAAGAAAGCAAGUAAAUAGAUUAUUAGAAUGAAAAAAAAUGGGGUACAUACUCGAGAGACUUGGUAAAAAAAACUACAAAAUAAUUAAAUAAUGAAAAUAAUUAUAAAAAAUUAAAUAUACUUGUCAAGUUCAAGUAGGAAUUGGAUUAGUACUCACUGAUUUCAUUAGGUUGAAACCAGGACCUGGACCAGUCCUCAUGGGAAUUGCUAGUUUUGUACUAGUCUGGCUUGUUUUUGUGCCGUUUAGAUGAUUUCCGAUUUCUUAACACACCUCUAAUUGUGACUUUUAUAAAGUAUAUUGUAAAUACCUCACACUUAUGGCUACUUUAAAAUUUCAGCAGCCUUUGAUGACUUUCUAGGAAGCCACCGCAGCCAACAUUGAAGUGCUACAAUUUAUAAAAUAUGCAUUUCAUAACCACAAAAAGCCACGUCAUCUUAUACAUUUUUACCAAACUGGCUCUACUAAUUUUGAAAGGGGAAGACCAAGAACAGAGAGUCAACGUCAAGUCUUCGGGCAUUAAUCAUCGCCGACAAUACCUAAUCCACGGCAGGUGGUCCUGGUAAAGCAGACUAGAAAAACUCACUUUUUGCACGGAUAUUGUGAAAAAGCAGAAUAUAACACGUGUUUUUCUUUUUUAUCUUUUGUAUAAUUUAUUUUCGAUUUGCUUUUAAUCCGACUUUUAUAUGGAUAUUGUUAUGAAAUACAUGAAUGGAUAGAAUGCAUGAAUGAAUAUUCAUUAUAUUCAUCUUAUCCAAUGUAUUUAUUAUGGUACAUUUGUAUCAAAUGUUCUAAGUACAUCUCCCUAUACAAUGAACGUUCGUCUCCCUUAUCAUGUACAUGUAUCAUUCGAUACAUUGAUAUUAAUGAUAAGUACAUUCUUGUUCUCCUAUAAAUAGGAGUUUAGUUUUGAUGUACAAUAUACAAUCACACAGAAACACGACAGUGAGAUACUAGAAAUAAAGCUCUCUCAUCUUGCUACUAUCUCUAGUGUUCACUUUCUUUCUCUUCUUUAAUCUCUUCUCUAUUAUAUAUUCGCCACGUGAUAUUUUACAACACGUUAUCAGCACGAGGAUCUACCGAUUGAGUAAGUAACUUUUGCAAGAACGAAGAUCUACCGAUUCAGUAAGUAAAUUUUGCAAGGUGCGUAUUAUUUUUAUUAAUCAACUUAUACUUCAUUUUCUUCUAUCAAUUCUUCAUUUUUAUUUUUCUUGGCCCGAAGCCAAAAUUCAAAUCUAAAAGUAUCCUUCUGCUCCUGAAGUAGCGGUGGAUAUUUGGAAAUCCUUUUAAUUAAUUUAAGGAUUUAUUUUUGCAAGGAUUAUGACAAAUAUUGAAAAGCCCAAAUUCCACAUCCUGGAAGUGAGUGGAAAGAAUUAUCUAUCCUGGUGCCUUGACAUGGAAAUGCACCUCCAAGGGCAAGGUCUCGCUAAUACAAUUACAGAGGAUGGAACCUCAAAUGAAAAGGAUAAAGCAAAUGCGCUGAUUUUUAUUCGCCGUCAUUUGCAUGAGAGCCUGCAGACUCAAUAUUUAUCCGUUCGAGACCCGCAUAUCUUGUGGAGGAGGUUGAAUGAUAGGUAUGAUCAUACAAAAACUGUUAUCCUCCCUCAAGCACAAUAUGAUUGGCAAAAUCUCAGAUUGCAAGAUUUUAAAUCAGUGUCUGACUAUAAUUCUGCUUUAUUUGAUAUCGUUUCUCGGCUAGAGUUAUGCGGUAUCAAACUCACUGAUGCAGAAUUGCUUGAGAAAACUUUUUCCACCUUUCAUGCUUCAAAUAUUGUAUUGCAACAGCAAUACCGGCAACGUCAAUUUGCCACAUUCUGAAUUAAUUUCUGUGCUUCUUACUGCCGAGCAAACUAAUGAAUUACUGCUCAAAAAUCAUGAUCUUAAACCUGCUGGCUCAAAAGCAUUGCCUGAAGCACAUGCUAACUUUGAGAAAAAUACUAGCCAUUUUAAGGGCUAUAAGCGCAGGCAAGAACAUAAUCCUAGAAGGGAUGGCAAGAAAUUUAACCGCCCUAGGAAAUCAAACUUUGGCCUGAAUCAUGGCAAAGAAAAGAAGCAAAAGAAGGUGAUUAAUGAAAGUAUUUGUCAUCGCUGUGGCAUGACCGGGCACUAGUCACGUACCUGUCGUAAGCCAAAACAUUUUGUUGACCUAUACCAGGCAUCUUUAAAGAAUACGGGCAAGCGUGGUGAAUCUCAUGCCAUUGAAAUCAAUCCUACUGCCAUAACCACUGUUGAGGCCAACAAUAUCUCCGUUGAUGGGACUCCUCUUGCUCCUAAAGUAGCAAAUGCAUCAUUGGAUGUCUCUGAUUUCUUUGAGGACCUCUGAUUACUUUGAUGAAUCAUAUUGGUGGAUAAUAAUUUGAACUUUGAAAUUUAUGUUGUUUCACUUUAAAUGUAUUACUUUUUUUUAUUGUUCUUUAUGAAAUACUUAUGAACCUUAUAUAAUAUUUAUCUUUGAAAUUUUAUUCAACUAUAUAACUAAAAUGCAACUUUUAUGAUACUUGACACCUGAAGUUGUCAAUAUAAAUGCAAAUGGAAAAUACCGAGAAAAAGGAAGAUGUUUGUUUGCUUGAUAGAGCAACAACACAUACUAUAUUUUGUAGUAGACACUUUUUCUCGAGUAUGACAUUACGUAAGGCACAAAUCCAUACAAUAUCAGGUUCUGUUCCGAUUAUUGAUGGUUUUGGGAAUGCUGCAAUUAUUUUGCCAAAUGGCACAAUCCUGCAUAUUGAGAAUGCGUUUCUAAGCAUUCGAUCAAAAAGGAAUUUGCUCAAUUUCAAAGAUGUACGCCGUAAUUGGUACCAUAUUGAGACUAUUUAUGAGCAAGAUAAGAAAUAUAUUGUCAUUUCCUCUUAUAAGAUGGGCCUGAAGACCAUCCAUGAGAAGCUAGAAGCUUCUUCUAUGGGUUUGUAUUGUGUCAUGAUUAAAGCUGUUGAAACCUACGCUACCAUAUCCUGGAGAUUGGUAAGCCCUGAUUAGUUUGGACUAUGGCAUGAUCACCUUGGUCAUCCUGGCGCUUCAAUGAUGCGUAGGAUAAUUUAAAAUACAAAAGGGCACCCUUUAAAGGAUAUAAAGGUAUUGUUGUCCAAAGAUUAUAAUUGUGAGGCUUACUCACAAGGAAAGCUCAUUAUCAAACCUUCUAUAACAAAGGUUAAUUUUGAAUCUCCUUUAUUAUUGCAAAGAAUUCAGGGUGAUAUUUGUGGACCAAUACAACCACCAAGUGGACCAUUUUGAUAUUUUAUGGUAUUAGUGGACGCAUCCUGUAGAUGGUCCCAUGUUUGCCUAUUAUCUACGCGCAAUGUCGCAUUUGCACGUUUACUUGCGCAGAUUAUAAAGCUCCGGGCACAAUUCAUUGAUUAUCCAAUUAAGAGCAUAAGGAUGGAUAAUGCUGGUGAAUUUACAUCAAAGAGUUUUGAUACAUAUUGUGCUUCACUCGGAAUCGAGGUUGAGCACCCGGUUGCAUAUGUUCAUACUCAAAAUGGAUUGGCAGAAUCCUUGAUUAAACGUAUCCAAAUCAUUGCCCGCACUCUAUUAUUGAGAACGAAUCUCAACGAUACUGCAUGGGGUCAUGCAAUUUUGCAUGCGGCAGCUCUAAUAAGAUUACGCCCCACUGCUAGUAUUUUACAAUCUCCCCUUCAAAUGGUUCUUGGUUAUGAACCAGAUAUUUCACAUCUACGCACCUUUGGUUGUGCAGUACAGGUGCCUGUAGCACCGCCAAAAAGGACGAAAAUGGGUCCCCAACGCCGUUUGGGCAUUUAUGUUGGGUUUAAUUCACCAUCUAUCAUUAGGUUCUUGGAACCAACUACUGGUGAUCUUUUUACUGCCAAGUUUGCAGAUUGUCAUUUCGAUGAGACUAGGUUUCCAUCAAUUGGGAUACCUACAACUUCCAUGACUGCAAAACAAAAACCAGUUAAGGUUUUUUCCUGGAAUGAGAAAAAUUUAUCUCAAUUAGACCCAAGGACUCCUGAAUGUGAAAACGAGAUGCAGCGCAUAAUCCAUUUAUAGGCUAUGGCCAAUAGACUUCCUGACGCAUUUAAUGAUGCUAUUAAGGUAACGAAGUCUCAUAUUCCAGCUGCAAAUGCUCCAGCUAGGAUAGCUGUUCCCGAAGAACAGGCUAAAAUGGAUCAAAAUCCCCUGCACUUGAAGCGUGGUAGACCGAUAGGAUCAAAAGAUACUGCUCCUCGAAAACGAAGGGGAAAGAAUCAGGAAUCCGCUCCAAAAGAGCUUGGCGUUGUGCUUGCUCCCAAAGAGCUUAUUGCCCCUGAAGAGGCACAAACCCAUGAAAGAAGCACUAGCCCCGGGAAUACUGAGAAUUCCAUUACAUAUUGUAAUGAAAUUUGGGAUCGAAAUGAAAUCAUCAUUGAUGAUGCUUUUGCAUUCUCAGUUGCUCAUCAAAUUAUGGAUGAUGAUUGUGAACCACAAUCUAUUAUUGAAUGUCGUCAAAGGCAAGAUUGGCAUAAGUGGGAGGAAGCAAUUAAAGCUGAAUUAGCUUCCCUAACUAAACGAGAGGUUUUUGGACCUGUAACUCGUAUCCCUGAUAAUGUAAAGCCCGUUGGAUAUAAAUGGGUAUUUAUCCGAAAACGAAAUGAGAAAAACGAGGUUGUCAGGUAUAAAGCCCAACUCGUUGCCCAAGGAUUCUCCCAGAGACCUGGGAUUGAUUAUAAUGAGACAUAUUCACCUGUGAUGGAUAUGAUUACAUUUCGUUUUCUCAUUAGCCUAGCAAUCUUUGAAAGAUUGGAAAUGCGUCUUAUGGACGUUGUGACGGCAUAUCUAUAUGGCUCAUUAGACUUUGAUAUUUAUAUGAAAAUUCCUAAGGGAUUCAAAAUGCCUGAAGCAUGCACUCCCCGCAAUUUAUUUUCAAUAAAAUUGCAAAGAUCCUUGUACGGGUUAAAGCAAUCCGGUCGCAUGUGGUAUCAACGCCUAAGUGAGUACCUAAUUAAGGAAAUGUACAAAAAUGAUCAUAUCUGCCCAUGCGUGUUUAUUAAGAAAUCAGAAACUGGGUUUGCUAUUAUAGCAGUUUAUGUCGAUGAUACAAAUUUAAUUGGAACUCUAGAAGAGUUAGCUGAAACUGCUGAAUAUUUGAAAAGGGAGUUUGAAGUUAAAGAUUUGGGUAAAACCAAACUUUGUCUUGGUCUAGAGCUUGAGCAUAAAGCAAAUGGAAUAAUCGUCCAUCAAUCAGCAUAUGUUGAAAGAUUGCUUAAACGUUUCAACAUGGACAAAGCUCACCCAUUGAGCACCCCUAUGGUUGUAAGGUCUCUAGAUCCCCAAAAGGACCCAUUUCGUCCUAAAGAAUCUGAUGAAGAGAUACUUGGUCCUGAAGUACCAUAUCUCAAUGCAAUUGGGGCUUUGAUGUACUUGGCACAAUGUACGAGACUAGAUAUCGCUUUUGCGGUAAAUUUAUUGGCACGUUUUAGUUCUGAGCCAACUCGGAGACAUUGGAAUGGAGUUAAACAUAUUUUCCGUUAUCUCCGAGGAACCAUAGAUUUGGGAUUAUAUUAUUCCAAGGAUUCCACUAACUCUGGUUUAGUUAGAUAUGCUGAUGCUAGAUAUAGAUCCGAUCCACAUAAGGCUCGCUCUCAAACCGGGUAUUUAUUUUGUUAUAACGUCACCGCUAUUUCUUGGCGUUCUACGAAGCAAUCGCUAGUAGCUACAUCUUCUAACCACUCUGAGAUUAUUGCUUUAUAUGAAGCUGGAAGAGAGUGUGUUUGGUUAAGAUCCGUUAUAACACAUAUUCAUAAUUCUUGUUGCUUAAUACCGGUUACAAAUUCUCCCACUAUAAUUUAUGAAGAUAAUGCUGCUUGUGUUGCACAAGUCAGGGGAGGAUAUAUCAAAGGUGAUAGGACCAAGCAUAUCUCGCCGAAAUUUUUCUAUACUCAUGAACUCCAAGAAAGUCGACAAAUUGAUGUUAAACAGAUUCGAUCCAUAAAUAAUCUUGCAGAUCUUUUUAACAAAUCAUUGCCAACAUCAAGUUUUGAGAAAUUAGUAUAUGGCAUUGGUAUGAGGCGAGUUCAUAAGAUGUAAGAUUGAUUAGCCCCAGAAAUGGCUAUAUGGCUCAAUUGAGGGGGAGAUAUUAUGAAUUAUACAUUGCAGCAUUGAUAUGUGCUAGUUCACAAGAUGCAAUAAUGAUUAGCCCCAGGAGUGGCUAUAUAUGCAUUGCACUCUUUUUUCUUUAUGUCCGGUUUUUUCCCAUAGGGUUUUUCCAGCUUAAAGUUUUUAACGAGACAAUUAAUGCAUCCAUAAAAGGGAGAGAUCAUAACAUUUGUGCUCUGCACUCUUUUUCCCUUUUUGUCCGAUUUUUAUCCCACUGGGUUUUUCCGGCUUAAGGUUUUUAAUGAGGCAGUAUCAUUCAAUGCACAUUCGUAAUGAAUAUGAUGAAUAUUCAAGGGGGACUGUUAUGAAAUACAUGAAUUGAUAGAAUACAUGAAUGAAUAUUCAUUAUAUUCAUCUUAUUCAAUGUACUUAUUAUGGUACAUUUGUAUCAAAUGUUCUAAGUACAUCUCCCUAUACAAUGAACGUUCGUCUCCCUUAUCUUGUACAUGUAUCAUUCGAUACAUUGAUAUUAAUGAUAAGUACAUUCUUGUUCUCCUAUAAAUAGGAGUUUAGUUUUGAUGUACAAUAUACAAUCACAUAGAAACACGACAGUGAGAUACUAGAAAUAAAGCUCUCUCAUCUUGCUACUAUCUCUAGUGUUCACUUGCUUUCUCUUUUUUAAUCUCUUCUCUAUUAUAUAUUUGCCACGCGAUAUUUUACAACAGAUAUUUCCUUUUUACUUUCUCUUGUUCGUUAAAUUUUUGCAUCGAGUACAUAAAUACUGAUGUAUACCUGUAUUUUUCAAUCUUUUUUUCAUUUCAAAUUCUUCUCAUUUACCUUGCUUGAAAUUUUUUUUGCAACUUUACAGUGACUUUCUAAAUUUAUAUAUGUUAAUAUUUUUAUUUAGACUCUUUUAUAUUGUUGCAUCGAUUUCACUGGGAAAUUAUUUUGGUUAUGUCCUUACUUUUGUUAUCAAUGUAAGUAUAGUGUUAAUAAGGCUAUGAAAUUUUAGCAAAAUAAAAAGGUAAAGUGAAAGUUUAUAGAACCAUGGAGUUAUGAUUUUAAAAGGAGAAACAAUAAAUGCAAUUGGAUUUGUUUUGAAUAUUGAUUAUAGUAAAAAAUUUUGUGCUUCAAGUGGUAUUGAAUAAGAUUUGCCACACUCAACUUGAACUAUGGCCAAGUGAGAAACUUGAACCAGAUAAAGAAGCUUAGUAUCCCCAAAACUUUUUUUUUUUUUUAUCAGAGCAAUACAAGUAUUUUUUUCAAGGAGAAAUAUUAUACAAAUCAUUUAUUUUUUACGAAAUAAACAUAGUUUAAUUAGACUUAAAAAAUCAUAAUCAUCUUAUCCUAGGAUAAUUUCUUCUCUAUUAUAACACUAUGACCUUAAAAAUAAAAAUACAACUAUAAUAGUUCAAUAUCAAUGGACAUCCAUCCACAUCAUGCUCUCCAAAAGAGUGAUAUGAAUACUAAAUAAUAACGAUUUGAAUACUAAAUAAUAGAUAUUUUGAUAACUUGAAAAGGUUGAUAUGAAUGUCAUCCUAUUCCGUAAUAUAUCUUAUUAGUUCUACAAUUAUUCUACUUUUGCACGUUAAAUUGUAUUUUGGAUUCUUAUUAAAAAUUAUUCAAAUUGCACUUUUCCUUCCGUGUUAAUUUUUAUUUUUUCAUUUUUUUACAUAUUAGUUGGUGGCCUUUUUGUUAAUAGACAAAAGCCCAUCAAUAUCCUUUCCUGAUGUAACUCUGCCCAACUAGCUUGCUGCGUUGCCAAUUUUCCAAUUGAAGCGAUCCUUUGAUAUUUUAAUAUGCAUUAGCUUGAUAUUUUCACCAAUUAAUAUACAAAUCCUGAAAAAUAAAAUUUUAAUAGACAAAAAGCCCAUCAAUAUCCUUUCCUGAUGUAACUCUGCCCAACUAGCUUGCUGCGUUGCCAAUUUUCCAAUUGAAGCGAUCCUUUGAUAUUUUAAUAUGCAUUAGCUUGAUAUUUUCACCAAUUAAUAUAAAAAUCCUGAAAAUAAAAUUUUAUUUUCUAGAAAAAGACAAGUUGGACCUAAAUCAAUAAAGAAAAAGAUAUUAUUAUAAAUGUCAAUUCAUUUUUGGGCACUUGUAUGGUUUCGAAGGAUGAAACUCCAGAUUGCAAUUUAUUGAAAUUAUUUUUUCCAUUAUUUUUAUUUAAAAUAUUGUAACACAAAAAAAAUUAAAAUGGUUUGUGAUUAAUGGCGAGAUUUACUCUCUUUUCUCUCCAACCCCAUGAAAAAUUAGGGAUAUGCUUUCGAAGAAUCUUUAGAAACCCCUUGUUACAAUCCAAAAUGCAUAUGCCUAUUAUCCUUUUGAACAGUUUUGCUAUAGUAAUUUCAGCUGUUGAAAGGAGCAUUGCGACUUUUGUAAAUUUUUUGGUCAACACCUCACAGCUACAGCUAUGACUACUUUAAAAUUUCAGCAGCUUAUAAUAACUUUAUAGAAAUUAGGAAGCUACUACAAUUUAUAAAAUAUGCAUUUCAUAAACAAAAAAGCCACCUCAUUUUAUAACACACCAUAACUACGUUUGUACCUAUCUGGCUCUACUAAUUUUGAAAGAGAAAGCGCAAAAACAGAGAGUCAACAUCUAGUCUUCGGGUAUUAAUUAUUCCUGACUGGGCCUGGACCACGGAUUGCAAAAUGAAGCUGGCUCAUCGCAGUUUUGCGCGUCGGAUAAACAAGCUAGCAGAUUGGGUGGUAAAAGCCCCACGUCCAGAAUUGGCUAUUUCAUCCCCGGAACUUAUGUUGGAUAAUUAUAUCGGGUAAAAGUCACCUAUAACACAUUUAUUCUGAGCUUUUCUUUGUAACAAAAAAGGCUCCAAACUAAACUAAUGUGACGCAUUUACUCCAAACUUAUACAGUGUGACAUCUUUAUUUCAAAUUUAUUUUUUGUGACAGCAAAAAUCUCAAGCCUUUACUUGUGUGACGAAUUUAUCCAAAAAAUUUGGUGUCUCAGAAAAAAGUUCGGGAUUUUUGGCUUCAAAAAAAAAGUUUGGAGUAAAUAUGAUGCAUGAGUAAAAGUUUGGGAUUUUUUGUAUCACAGAAAAAAAAAUUGAGGUAAAUGUGUCACAGUGGGCAAAGUUUUGAGUUUUUGGCGUCAUAAAAAAUAAUUUAGAUUAAAUGUGUCAUUAUAAGCAAAGUUUGGGAUUUUUUGUAGUUUUUUCCCUUAUAUUUUCACAAACCUAGCUUAAGUUGAUAAAAUUUCUGUUUUUUAGACAAAAAUAUUUUUUGUUGCAGACUAGGAAAACCAACUCUUUGCUCAGGCAUUGAGAAAAAAACAGAAUAAAAUUAUUGUCCUUUUCUUGCAUCGUGCUUUUAUUAUUGUUCUCUUGUUCCUUAAAUUUAAGAGAAGAUAGCAUAAAUGAUCCACAAAUUUUUGUCUCGAUCUGCAAUGUUGUCCUUAAACUUUUAAUUUAUUCAAUAUAAUUCUCGAAUUGUUGGUAAGUAUUCAAUGCCGUCUUUAGGCUUGCUCAAAAGGCAAACCAAAUGUUAUUUUGAUGACGUAGAUUACUAUAUGUUGAGUUGAAUUUUUAGAAAUGAUGAUUCAAUCUAUCUAUCAUUUUACCCAUCUACUUUAAACAAGGAAAAAAUUUAAGCAUUAACACGUCCAUUGUUAUUUGAUGAUAUGGAUUAUUUUAUCCGAAUUAAGAUGAAUAUCUUAUGUGGAUAAUUCAUAAAUAACUUUUUUUUUUGCCCACCAUUCAAACCUAAAAGAUUGGAAGCUACAUCACUAUUCUAGGAAUUAGAUUGAAUACAUGUAGAUAGUUCAAGGAUCAUAUUGUAUAUUGAAACAAAAUUCAUAAACUAUUUAUGUCAUUUUUCUUUGAAUUUUUUAAUCAAGUGCAUAAAUAUUGCAAUGCACCUAUGUUUUUCAAUUUUUUUUUUCAUUUAAAUGAGUUUUAUUUGGAGAGAGUCCCGACAGGGCUCUCUGCUUCAUUUAUAAACACAGACAGGAUAUAAUAAAGUCAGCGGGGCACUUCCAAAAAGCUUCCAUUAGACCUUGAUUUUACUCAAAUUAUCUAAUAAAUGUUUUUGGAGGUAGAACUCACUGAUUUGUCAAACCCAUUAUGACUAAUCCCCGCCAUAUCUCAUUAAACAACAGUUUAGAUUAAAUAAAAUACAAGCUAGAAAUGAAAUAGUAUUUCUUUAUACUUCGGUUAAAAUAUUUUUACAACUUUGCCAUGAAUUUCCAAAUUUAGAUGGAUUGAUUUUUUCUAUUUAAAUUUUUUUAUAUCAUUGUAUUGACCCCAUUGACAAAAUGUUCUGGCUCUGUAUUUGCUUAAAAUCAAUAUAGAUAUACUGUUGAUAGGGUCAUAAGAUUUUAUCACAAUUAAAAGGUACAAGCUUACGCAAUCAUGACUGAGUAUUAAAAUUGUGAUGGAAUCAUGUUUUUAAAUGGAGAAACGAUAAAUGUAAAUUACAUAUUGUAUGUUGAUUUUAGCAAGAAAUUUUGUGCUUCAAGUAAUAUAAAAUAAAAUUUGCACUCUACUUGAACUAGGUACAUGGCCAAGUAAAAAACUUGAGCCAGAGAGAGAAGUUCAGUAUCUCCAUAGCUUCAUUUUCUUGAUCGAAAGUUUUGUGAACUAUGAUUCAGCUACAAUAAAUCACAUGUGACCCCAAACAUUUCUUGACAUUCAAAACUCGAUUAAAUCUAUUAGAGUUAGGUCUCUUCUCGUAUCACAAUUAAUACCGACAUCCUUUCAUCCUUGCUAGAAAAAGAGUUCAACCAAAAAAGGAAGUGUGGAAAUGUGGAAAUUGAAAGCUUAUGGCGUUGUUGAAUUUAUUGAGUUCCUUGCUAGAGAAGGAAAGAACAUUCCACGUGGAAUGAAUCGAUUCUAUCCUCAAAUUCAACCUUUUCAACGAAGUGGAAGAUAAACGAACAUCAAUUCUCGUGUUCUUGACAUUAAAUUUUAGUUUGAUAUAUGGGGAAAACAGUCAAAUUAAUCCAUCUUCUUUGCCCAAGAACUAGACAUAUUGCCAACAGAUGCUCUUUCAUAAACGUGAGCUGCAAUUGGGCCUACAAAAGUUAACAGUUCUUGCAAACCAGGCUGCUUUAUAAUCACCAAGGAUCAGCAAGGAAUGAACUUCUUUUGCAGCGCCUUCUCCGUCUUGUCUUUUUACGAUCGUUCUUCCUUAAGACGACUAGCGACACUUUUCAUUGUCACAAAUUAUAUCAACCGAUCCGGAUCUAGAGUUACCAUCUAAUGAUAUAACAGAGGACCCGUUACCAUAACGCUGAACUGCACAAGAACUAACCACUAGGACCUUAGGACUGAUCAAAGACUAUUCGAUUGCAUCGAUUAAACAUGUCCUAUUAAGUCCGGUGUACAUGCAACAUCUUGAAGCUGCAUCUUCUAAAGGAGAGACGGAUGUGCAUGUACGACAACUGCCGAUCAAAGACUAUUCGAUCCCACUGCUCUAUUUAGCGCGCGGCUUGUCGACAAUAAACAUUUUAUUAAUAUGGCAAACUGUCGAAGUCAUAACGCACAUCACAUUACUCACAUACAAACCCCUCGUAGAUCAAGCUCGGAAACAUUCACUCAGAAAAAAAAAGAGGAGAACGGCUUCAAACGAGUCAUAGAUAACGAGACUACUAUAAAGCAACUUUCAGGCUCUACGACAGACAUCACCAUCACAGACCCAUCCUUCUUUGGCAUCUCCUUCUUUCUUUGCCUCCUCCUCAGCUGCUUCAUUGUCUUCAUCUAACUCGUUUUCAGUUGCUUUCUCUUCUUUAACAGCACAUUUUGGGUGGAGAUCAAAGUCACACUCCUCGCAAUAAUAUGACCACCCCUCCCCCUCUUCAUCGCAGCCAUCACAAGUGUACCGUCUCCUCUGAGCCGGAACGAGCUCGUGCUCUUCAUGCAAAGGUUGCUUCAACUUCUCUGGCCAGCCUUUUAUACUUUCCUUGAACUUUUCCUCAAACUUCUUGAGAUGUUCGGCAGUAAAAGGAUAAGCAUCAGCCCCGUGGUCCAUUAUAAGAUCCCUUGCUUUGUUAGUCACCGUCCGGCCCGUUGGACCUAUGGCUACAAGCAUGGGGAUGCCCCGGACCUUGAAUUUGCGACUCAGGGAUUUCUUCCUCUCGUCACCAAAAGGGAGCGCCAGCCACGGCAUCUGAGCAAAAUAAUUAUCAAAGGCAGUUUGGUCCUUGUCACUGGAGAUGAAGAUAACCUCCAAGGCAUUGCCGGCGGCCUUGAUCUUUUCGUAUGCCUCAGUAAGCACCGGCAGGAAUGCACGGCAAGGAGGGCACCAGUGUGCCGAGAAGUACAGGAGGACAGUCUUCCCUACCAAGUCUGGUACUGGAAUCUGCAAUCGAAGUUAAGGAACAACCUUUUAGAUGAACCACCAAUUGAUGGAGAAGGCACGUGAAAACUACAUCUAUGUAAAGGAUUUUCCUAGCUAUAAACCUGGUUUCAAUCCUUUCCUCGAGUCAAGUAACCCGAGGGACAACUGUAUAUGGGGCCCCAGUGUAGACAUCAAAAAUUUCCCCAGUCAUUAGCUUCUAGGGAAAAAACAAAUUUACCUUGGUUCCAUCCUUUCCAAUGACAAAAUCCAGAUCCCCUGAAACCAAGAUCGACUCCAAGGUCUGAGAUUCUUCCCUUUUCUUCUCUAUCUCUGCAAGCUCUGCAAACUUUUCUGGAGUGAAGGGAUAAGCUGUGAUGCCAUGCUCUUCGACAGUUUCGGCAACGUUGGCAUGGACAGUCUUCCCAUCCUGACCGAUAAUGACCAGAGUGGGUAGGGUCGACAGCUUAAAGUACCUCACCAACUUCUCGCAUUUCUUGUCUUUGAAUGGUAAUGAAAGCCAUGGCAUGCUGCCAAAGGAUUGGUUGAAUGAUGCUUCAUCAUCAUCGAGAGGUAUCUGAACGAUCUCAAAACUCUCUCCUCUGGCCUUCAAUUUCUCAUAAACCUCCAGUAACUUAGGCGUGAAAUCGACGCAUGCCCUGUGCACGGACAACGAGAAGUACAGACCCACUGUUUUCNNNNNNNNNNNNNNNNNNNNNNNNNNNNNNNNNNNNNNNNNNNNNNNNNNNNNNNNNNNNNNNNNNNNNNNNNNNNNNNNNNNNNNNNNNNNNNNNNNNNAAUCAUAGCACAUGCGACCAUGAGUUUCAAAUGCAUCGAGAUCUUUUUAGGUUUACCUGAUUCCGAUUGACGAAACUACGAAGUUACGAGAUCCAUGGACCAAAAGAGAGGUCACUGAUUGAUUUAUCCUAGUAGCUUCUUCCUGGUCUUUCAACUCUUUGAUACGUUCUGGAGUGAAAGGGUGACCUUCCACUCCAUACUCACGGACAAUCGCAACUCCGCUAUCUGUUAAGACCGUACCUGUGCCAUCGAGAAUGACAAGGUGGGGUAUCCCCCUCACCUUAAACAAUUCAUCCAAGCUAUUGCGCUUGUCCAAGUCGGAAAACGGGAUUGCAAGCCACGGCAUCUUGGAAAAGUAUCCACUGAAGGACCCUUCAUCCUUAUCUGCAGAGAUAAAAAUGAUCUCCAGAUCACCUUUUGGGGAAAGUUCAUCGUACACCUCCGCCAGAAUCGGGGUGAACCGGUGGCACGGACCGCACCACGAUGCGGAGAAGUACAAGCCAAUCUUCUUCCCCUUCAAGCUAUCGACCUUAACCUGAUAUAGAACAAAAAGAUUCCUAAUUUUAGUUCUUUCAUACGGUAAUCAGCGAGCAAGGCACACUAGAUCACUUGACCACCACACAAAAAUCCUGAAAAUGCUCAAGAUACACAUCCAAAUGCCAACUGCAGAAGCACUUCCCUUAUGCACUGCUCAUUAAAUAGUUAGCAAAUCAGCAGUCUUCGCCACCAAAACAAGUAUACCACACCGAAGGUGUGAGCAUUUACACUAAAGAGCAUUACUUCAUAGCAAUAUCGGAUCCAUAUACACUGCUCCCACCCGAUCCAACUCCAAGUAACAUGUCUUUCUCUAAAAAGUAAUGCAUCAACUACCGAUCAUCCAGUUUCUGAAGGAAACAAAUGGACAGCACUCGAAAAUGAUGAUCCUAGAUCAGACCAACUUUAGCUUCUCUUGAACUAAAUUUAAAAACCGAUCAGCGAAACAACCCCACACGAAGACGAAGGCCACGAGAACUUCGACAAGGACGCCCACCCAUAAUUCUUUUUCUUUCACCUCAUCCAGCGAAAGAGCAAGAGUGAAAGAAGAGAACUGAGUUUCACCUGAUCGCCGUUGUUCCGGAUGAGGAAGUCCCUGUCCGGAGAAGACAGGAGGGACUGAACAUCGUGAGAAGAAGCCCCGCCUUCGACAACGUCCGCCAUCCUGGUCGCGUUCGUUCCUUGUGUCCUGUUCUCGUGUCUCUGCAGAGAGUCUGCCUGAGAACCNNNNNNNNNNNNNNNNNNNNNNNNNNNNNNNNNNNNNNNNNNNNNNNNNNNNNNNNNNNNNNNNNNNNNNNNNNNNNNNNNNNNNNNNNNNNNNNNNNNNGCAAAGAACCAAACGGAAAGAACAUCGGCAUCUAAACUUAAAAGGCGCACGAACUCAUCUUCCAAUCCGGCAAGAUAAGCCCCAACCAAGAAUCAGAUCAGCAAAUGCUCUCGACCCCCACCCUCCCCCAGUUUGAAAUUCAAGAACCGAUCACCACAAGGCCAAGAAUUUCUCGCACGAAACUGGGUAGUCAGCGAAACAACGAGAACUUCCACAAGGACGCCAACCAACCCACAAAAUUCUUUUCUUUCUCCCCUCUUCCAAAGGGAAAGAGCGGGGAGUGAAAGAAGAGAACCGGGAUGGACAGGGUGAUCGCCGUUGUUCGAGAAAAAAAGGGGUCCCUGUCCGGAGAAGACAAGAGGGACUGCACAUCGUGAGAAGAAGCCCCGCCUUCGACAACUUCCGCCAUUCUCGUCGCCUUCGCUGCAGCGUUCUGGUGUCCUUGCAGAGCGUGCUUGAGAAAUCCUCCUAUGGCGGGCUUCUGCACCUUGCUCCUGUUUAUAUAGACAGAAAAAACUCAGGCAGGCAGGUCUUUUU
rnacentral:lncRNA from 1 species